GUAUGAAAGUUGAAUAGUGGACUGUGCUUGAGAUUAGGUUUAUGGUUUUUUUAUGUAGCCUUCGUUUUUUUUUUUUUUUUGUUUCUCUUAUUUGUUGGAUAUGUAAUGCUUUGUAAAAUCUGAACUGGGAUAAUAACUGGUUUUUCUUUUCAUAUUUUGUUUUAAAUUUAUUUUGGAUUUGAUUUUUAUUUGAGUUAGAUUUGAGUGAAGUACUCUUUACUUGUCUUGGUUAUCUGACAUUUAUGUUUGCUUUUGCAUUUUAAUAGAAGUCUGAUUUUUGACAAUUUCAGGUUAGACUUUUGGGUUUGCCUUUUAUGAUAUUCUGGAGUUGAGCUAAAUCAAGAUGCCGUGGGUUUCCUUGUUUGUGGAUCAUAAGAGAAACUGUGUUCGUUUGGUGGUGUUUUUUCGUGUGAUUCUGUAAUUUAAUUAGCUGAGGUAAGAGAUUUUUUCCUGCUAAUUUGCUACUAUUUAUAGAGUAUAAUUUGUAAAAUUAGUUCAUGUCAUAAUCUAAGUUCUAAUGUAAACUUAAUUAUAAUAUAUUUGUAACUGUUUUUCUACUGCUUGCUGUGGAAAGCAGAAAUUGUGGUGUUAAUGCUGUUGUUUUGAAUUGAUUGGGAACAUCAAUAUCUCCUUCCUUGUAUGGCAUAACAGUACACUAACAAUACACAACAUCAAUAUAUAGUUUCAUACUUUAUGAACAUUGUAUAGAAUCUUAUGCUUACUCUUUUAUGUUAUCCACUGCUUCUUAUUUCCUCUGAUCCAAUAAUUUUAUCCUUUCUUGCUGCUGCAGGUGAUAGCUUUAGAGGGACUCCUCUAAUUAGUGUUUUUUUUCCCUUUCAUUACCAAAACUGCUGGAGGGUUGAGAAUGUUCUUUGCCAAAGUUGGGUACAUUAAGAUGAGUGUUGGAGUCAUUGCAUACAGUCAAUUGAUGUUGGUUUGUCAGGUAAAUACUUCUUCUUCCCUUAUUUCCGUGUUGACACUUUCCAUGGAGACUGAUAUUGGAUUCGAACAUCAGAUGGAAUUUUGCAUCACUCCUCUGAUAUGGCCUGCAAGAUAUUGUAAUUUGAACUAUCUGUAACACAUGACAUAAUAUUGUCAAAAAGAGGAUUUAACUAUUUUUUAGUUUCCAAAAAAAUUAAAGGCUGAGCUCCAUUAUCUUGUUAUUGCUAAUGGCUUUAUAAAGCCACAUGCUCUGAAGGUUGUUUGAUAACUUUUUGUACAUACCGACUUUCAGAAUGGGAUGGUAGUUUUCUCUAGUUAUAAACCGUCUCUUAUAGAAUUGCAGUACUGAACAUCACUGCAUUUACUAAUUGUCUCUAUUAGCUGUGAAAUAUUAUUUUGGUUUUAUCCCUGUUUGCUACUUUUUAUACCACCAUUUUCUUUUGCAGGCUGAAUAUUUUCGUCAGUUGCUUAAACCUGUUACGUAGUCUAGCUUAAAGGAACAUUGAUUUGGGGAGGGAUUGCCUUGUAUUGAACCACAUCAUUAGAAGGCUGCCAGAUGAGAUGAAGUUUUAAUUUGUAAAAGUUGACAUUAUUUUUUAUAGAUGGAAUUGGAAUUACCUUAGUACCUGCUGUUUAGUUGUUACAUCACUGUAGGAACUUUCAUCCAGCUUUAGUACAAAAUAAUUUCCAGUUACAUUGGCCAAAUCCACACUACUUGCACACGUAGCUUAGUCAGAGUGAAUAAUUAUUAUAAUGCAGACUCACGAGUAUUUUAUCCCGGGAAAGACGGUACAUCCUUUGGCAGAUGAAGCCGUUGGUACUUAUAUGAAUGCUCCACAUGCUUCUACCUUUGAUGCAGUUUUCCCUUCUGGUGUGAGACAUAUGACACCAUUUGAAAGGUUUAAAUUGCAGCCUUCUGAGGUUUGCCCCAAGAAAUUCAUUGUCUUUGAUCAAACCGAUCAACAAAGCAGGAUUUUUUUUAAUCCUGCGACGACCUACAAGUUUAACAGUCCCGGCUUCAACACCCAUGCUGCGUUUACUCAAGAUUUUGAAAAGGAUAAAAUUAAUCAAAUGGAAAGGGAAUUGUCAUCUUCCUUUGAAGAGGAUUCUAAGGACAUUGAUGCGUUGUUGAGCCUAGAAACGGAUGAACUAGCGAACUAUGAUGAGGAAGAAGUCAGCACAGCAAGGACCCGUGAAAAAGACGAAAGUACAUCUGAUACUUGCUCCAGUUAUCGCACGAAAUCGAGGAAGAAGAGGUUGUUAUCAUCUUCUGCGCAAAACUCUUCUGGGUCCAGGAGUUACUGCAACAGUGAAAAGAAACAACACCUGGAGAUGAAGAGGAUGGUGAAGAUGUUGAGAAAUAUUGUGCCUGGUGGAGGAAACCAGAUGGAUACUGUUACCGUUUUGGACGAAGCUGUAAAGUACCUCAAGACUCUCAAGGUUGAAGUGGAGCAAUUCGGAGUCGGACCAUGAAACUGUUAGUUUGACAGUGCAUAUGUUGCUGCUGCUGUCAAACUCUUUGUUAUCGACUACUUUCCAGCCUCGCUCACCUUCCUCAUUAAGUCAUUACCUUUCGUGGGAAGAUGCUCCUUGCAAAGUAAUAAAUUAACAGUGCCCUUUUACUUAUUCUGGUCAUGUAAGAAAAUUCUCUAAUAUUAAUUGCACUUGGAAAUAUGUUUGACACUUUUGCUGGUUUAUUUCUUUUCUUAUGAAUAGUGGGGAUUGACUGAAGGUUCUUUCCUAACAAUAACGUUCAUUAUUAUGCAUGUUAUACCAUGAAUGUAAUGUACUAUAAAUUCACUAGACUGAUAAUUUCUCACUUAUGCUUCAUACAUGUUUUGUUAAUUCUUCUUGCACCCUGGAUUUGUAUUUGCAUGCUGCUGCUGUGGUGUAUGCUAUGCUUAGAAAACAGAUUUUUUGAGCAUGCUUUAUUUAAGCAAGGCUCGCUCAAAUCUCCGUUGUGUUAAUUUUCUCUAUAGUUGUUCUGGUCAUCCUUCAUUGAAAUGUACAAAAGUUGUUUCAAUUAUCAAAGAUCAUUGUCGUGUAUGCAUUGAAUGUGCAUUUUCGUACCACUGGCUCCCAAUAGUGCAGUUAGUGGCGCACCACUUAACCUUUUUUUCUUCAGUGGCAUUCUAGCUUUAUGCUAGUUUAGGCCCCACGGUGUUUCAAGUUCCAUCUCGUUGCAUAACCUUUCGGCGCCCUAGAAUGAAUGCUAAAUAUUUGAAUACUUUUUUUUAUCCCUCUUUCUUCUAUCCUAUGUCCAGGUGCAUGAAAACAUAACGAUGCAUGCUCAGUUAAAGCUUCACUUUAGAUUUGAUUUCGAUAACUAUUUAUACCAUAACUAUGGCUUCCCAAUAAGCAUGUCUUCCCAAUUUUAUUCUGUUGGCUGAAUGUAAUUUAUCGAAUCCAAAUGUUGAAUAUUAAUUUUUUAUUGAAUAGAUCAAUUAUGCAAAAUGUUGUGAAAUAAAAGAUUUGAUUGAAGUUUUAUCAGUUUUUAAUUUCAUUUUUUUUAAAUAUAGUUAAUAUCAAUCAACACAUACUACCAUAAAGGUUAAAACUAGAAAAAGAUCCUCGUCAAAACUGUGAUAUUGAUUCAGCUUGCAAGCAGGUUAAAAUCAUGGUCGCUUAGCAACAUUUAUAUUCACAUCAGGCAAGUGUUAUUGAUUCCCAACCACCAUUGCAUCCCAAAACUUGUAUAGCAGGAAAAUAAAUUUUCAUAUGUCAAAUCGCUGCUAUAUACAUUUAGAUUUAAAACCAAAGUACAUUGGGAUUGGAAUCCAUAAGGCCUUUUAAGUGCUUGCAUCCACCAUCAUCAUUUUCUCUCAUUCUUGCUCCAAGGUUCCACAUAUUCUAAAGAAACUUCAAUAAGCUUUGUGCAAACUCCAACGGGACAAGAACAUAUACAGCAAAGGUCAACACAUUAUAUAGGACUAGCUCUUGAUGUCUGCAAAAAUGACAGCACUGAUGUCACUGCACAAUUCUUAAUGUAGGUCAAUCUGCAGCAAAGUCACAAACAUGACAAAAACAAAGUAGAAAAGAAAGGACAUGCAUGAACUAGCUCCAAGAGUAUAUGAAAGGCUACAAGAUGUGUUACAAAGAUAAAAGAAUGGCAACAAUAAUAACCAUUAAGGUAAGACAAAAGCAUAACUACUAUCAGAUGAAGGAAACUCAUACACAAAAAUAAACGAACCAUGCUAGCCAGUUCACUAAAAGUUAUUUUUAGCAAUUUGUUGACAUGAUAAUAUUCUGCAUGGAUGUACUAUUUCUGUAUAUGCUCGAUCAACAUUCAACUUCACCUUGUGACUUGUGUGAUGACACUUGUCAGAAACAAUGUGAUUUUGAAUCUUAAAGCCUCAACCGUCAAGAGCUAUCCAUGUAAAAAACAUUUUUUCUACUGAUGGAGGACAAGAUAAGGAAAAAAGAUUUCAGAAUCAACAACUGAAUACCACAAAGAUAAUUUGAGCAAAGGAAGAGAUGGGUUAUAUAGCGACCUGAUUCUGCAUGCUUGUUACUGUAGUCCAGCGCUGAGGAUGAUGAACUGCAACUGAACUGUUAGCAACAAAAGCUAAUGUACUUGAUUCUUCUAGUACACCGACAGCUUCUGCAGGAGGUAAUUCCCUCAUUACCCACAGUACCACUGCUGAGGGUAUUGAUGAACCUGGAAAAAGUGUAAGCUUCAGAAUUAAAGGAAGGGAAUCCAUUUCUAAAAGCAAUCAGUAAUAAAAAGUAUUAUUAGGCCACACGGCAGGUACAACUUUUUCAGAGACUGUCAUUACACUCAAAAGGGAAAAAAUAAAAAGAUUCCUGCAACUGAACUAUGAGGCGAUAACUAUAUUAACAUCACAUACCCACAAAAUAAUACAAAAUCAGUAGAAGGGAGACAUAAACAUCACUCAUACGCUGCGGAUGCCAGUGAUACAUCAUCUGCAAUAAUAAAAUAAUGUGACUGCUAGUUCGGGAAAUUAACCCUUUCAGCAAGGAUAAAAAAAACUCUUGCAAGUUAACUCAUACAUACAGGAACGUCGGUUAAAAGUUCUACACAGGAACUUGAUGUGAAGCAUAGUACAGAGACCACAGUUAAACCUGCAACCUGAUAAAAUGAAACACUUUCAAUAAUUUAUAAAAUAAUUAUGCACAUCAGCACAAGCCUGCGUCUCUGUCUCUAUACACGUGCAUUGGUUUAAAAUAAGCAUCUAAAUUAUGCAUUAGAUACAAAGGUAGAUAAAGUGCAGGCAGCCAUGAGUGGGCACCCAGAGGACCACAAGCCCUUGAAAUUAAAUAAGUUCAGUCACAAAGGCCGUGUGUUAUCUAAUGCUCCAAAGGAAACAGCAAUCUAGUACCUUCCCCAUUUCAGAUGAAGGUUUCUCAGCUCUCACUUUGCUCAUCUUCAAGCAUAAUAGGAUUCCUGCAAAGGAACCAUACCACAAAUUACAAUGAAAAACUAUUAUGUCUACAAAAAAGGCAUCUCAUACUCAGGAGUAGUACUCACUAGUCAUUAACACUUAUACAUAAACAUUAUUGACUUGUAUGUUUUUAAAUUAUUAAUUAAUUCACCCAAAGCUUGUCAUGUAAUCGAUAUUCAUUUUUAUUUGCAAAUGGAAAUUUCCUUCUAUAAUAUUAGAGUAGAAAAAAAGAUGAAAACCAUAAGCACAAGCUCUUUCUAUGAUUUUGACUUUUUUGAAUGUCAUUGGUGUGAAGUAUCUACUGUCUUUGAACUCGGUAUAAUUUUGUGGCUUACCCAACAUAACCCUAAAAUGGUUAUUAUUAUAGAGAAGAAUAAAUAUUUCUUUUGUUAUGAACAGAGAAAUAGUUCAGUGUAUCUCACCAUAAAAGCAAGUUUUUUUUCCCUAUAACUUUAGACUUAUAUAUUUUUGUUUUGAUAAACAACCAGUAACGAUAAUCAAAUUAUAACAACAGAGUUUGAAAUUGCAUAAUACUCGUAUCACAUAUGUUAGAAAAAUGUAUUAUGUAGAAUCUAAAAUUUAUUUGAUUUAACAGUAACCUCCUUCUAGCUAAUCAGCUGAUUAUAUAGGUUCAUGAAUUGAUUGAUGCCGAUGCAUUUACAAAAACACAAACUAGAACAUCCCCUCAAGCAAGAGAAGAAAAUCAACUCCAAACCCACUUAAAUUAGAAUGAAAAAACAACUAAAAUAGCAGUUGCUCACCAUAACAUGCUAAUGCUCCUCCUAAGAAAAGCAUUCCAAUAGCAGAAACAUCCAAGUACACCUGCAUGCGAACUUUGGUCACCAAAACGUGCACGAAAAUAUUGUUGAAAGACUAAGAAAACACCCAUGGUUCAUCAAAACUACGGCAUCUAGGUUUACAGUACAAAUUCAUCCUCGUCCAAACAACAUAUACCACAGUUCUUCCCUCUCUUUUUCAAUCAGAAAAUUAGAAGAACCCCCUCCAAAUAUUUCUAUUUAAAGCAAGCUUUACUUUUGAAAUAAACUAGUAUCAGUUACACAGGGUACAUAACCAUUGUACAAAGGUGUCUGACAGAUAUUUGGGAGAUUGGAUAGAUAUGCAUGAUUGAUUCUUCGAUAUCUGUUGUUUAUUGUCUAUUUUUCUUAUUUCUUUUUAAGGAGGAUCUCCUAUUCUUAAUAAUCUCUCUAGUUGUUGUAAUGAACUUCUUCCUUAUAAAAAAUGUUCACAGAAAUAUUUUGAACCAAUCAAAUCAAUAGACAACAAACACAAGUUUGGCUGGGCUUUGUGAUGGGUUACCCAAAUACAAACAUGUCGACGAGUCCCACAUUGACAACGGAUAUGACCUAAGUAAUGGUUAUACGGCUUGGACAAUUCUCACCUUACAAGUUGAUUUUGUAGUAUUGAGUUAGACCCUAGGCCGAAUUCUAAGAAAGUACCAGAGACUGUCCUAUUUUUGUUAGUGGACUAAGUUCUCAUUUAUUCACGCUCUAGAUAUCCAAUCCUCUGCAUGAGGGAGGGGUUUGAGAUUCUUGUUAUUUCACCCACACCAAUACUUAUAAGUUUUGGACAGUUCUCACCUUAAACACUAUUUUGAGGGAUUAAGUUAUUGCCUGAAACUCAAAUUCUAAGAUGUUAUCAGAGUCUAUCAAGACCUCGGGCUAGGAAGUUUCCUCCUAGUCCUUAGCAAUAAGAGCUCUAUUCCACGCCUUUUUUGAUGUAGUUUACCUUUUUUUUUAUCAAUAAAAUACAUUCUUCCAGUUAGAUAGCAGCAGUUCCUAUAUCUAUGCCUCUUUCUCUUGACAAGAAAAAAAUAUUGAAUUCGGCGAAAAGGGUCCUUGGUAUGUUUAGAAUUUCGUAUGACAUCAAAAUCAAAUACAAGCUACUUUAUAUAGUAAAUGUAAACUUAGGUUUUCUAAUUAAAAAUAAUAGACAAGUAAUCUUUUACUUCCUAUUUGAAGAAGAAAAGAAAGAGACAGUCGUUUAGAGAAAAAGUCAUUCCCAACUUUUAUGCCAGUAUUUGCUACUAAGAAAGUUGGAGUGCUGCAUGGCAUCAGAGAUUAUAAAUAACAACCACCACCAGAAAAAAUUUCCAUUAGAUGAGACCGACUACACGAGUCAAUCAUCGCCAUUGUAUUCUGGCAUAAACUAGACCAUCAGCAAGUCACUUAGAUCUAGUUUUUUAAUGGAUUAUAGAUUAUAUAAAACAAAAUAAGUUGCAGUGCCCAUACCCGAGCUGCCACUUCAGAGUCAAUUGGAUUCUUUCCAAGCCCAAUCCAUAUUAUUACAGAAAAUGCCAUCAUGGUGAUGAAAAUUAGUAACAUAACCUGGCGAAUGAUAUCCAAGUUAUUAUAUAUGAAGGAAGUACAUAGUGAAGUUUAUAUAUGAAUGUCAGUUAAGAAGAAAAUGAUAAGACAAAAAACAGAGCUACAUAUGAAUAAGCACUUGUUUUUCUCAUACCAAAAGCACAAUCUUUUGACGAUUUCCGAUACGGGAAAAACGAAUAGGAAAACACUUUCUAUGUCUGUCCCUGUUUCUUAAAAUUGAUUCAUUUGAAGUUUUUCCCAACAAAGGUUCCUCAGAAAAACUUCCUUCAUAGUCAUCGUCAUCGUUUGACUGAUGGCAAAGGUCAACCCUGCAUAAAGUAGUUCAUAUUUAGCAAUACCAUUAGCCUAAAAUUAUAUUAGAUAUAUAUCUUUACAAGUACUGUGCAAUUCUCAUCCAAUAAUUCACUGCAUUAUCAUGUUAAUGCUAGCAGAUGACUUAGAGAGUUAGAUGAUCAAAUACACAUGCAAAAGUGGGGACCAAGCUUCCAACAGUCAUACCGCCUCGGCUCGUGAUAUUUUUAGCCAAAUAUCAUUAUUCUAACAAGAUUAUGUAAAGAGAAAAGGAAAUAGUAAAAAAUUGAAAAUUUAAUAUUAAUGUUUUUAUUUUGCAACACCACAUAUUAUGAUGGCUACUUAAUAUUAAUGUUUUAAUUUUGCCUCUUUCACUACUGUUUCGCUGCUGGUUUUAGGUUGCUUAUGAAGAUUUACUUCGGUAGAUAAAAUAUUGUCAUAACUCCAGUUCCACUUUUUCGGCUGCACAAAGUGGUAAUUCAUUUGUUUGCAUCUCACCUUCCCUUUAGCCCAUUGGUUCUUGACUUUGGUGCAUCUGACCACAUUACUAGUAUACGGCUCUUUUCUCCUCUUUGACCACUUCUGGUUAUUUACUUAGGAUAGUCUCAGCCAAUGGUUUUAAACCAUAAUCCCAAGGGAUUGACACUGUCCCUUAGCCCAUGGGUUCUCGAUUCUGGUACAUCUGACCAAAUUACUGGUAUAAGGCUAUUUUCUCCUCUCACCAUUUCUUGUUAUUUACCUAGGAUAGUCUCAACCAAUGGUUUUGAAGCACAAUCCCAAGGGAUUGACACUGUCCAAAUCCUCCCUUCGAGUUACAUCUAUCUUUUAUGUGCCUGGAUGCCCAUUUUUUUUAAUUCCUAUCAGUCGAUUGACUCGUUCUCAUGACUGUGUUGUCACCUUUACUAAUUGCAAUGUUACUUUGCAAGAGUCUAUUGACCUCUAUUAUCUCUCAAACCCAUCCACGACGUGCCUAUCACAUAUUUCUCCUCUUACUAUACAUGCUCAAUUACGUCAUUCGAGUCUUCCCAAACUUCAAUAGUUAGUACCUAAUCUUUCCAAAUUAUCUAGCUUACAUUGUGAGUUGCGUCAGUUAGGGAAACACUACUCGUAGUGAUUUCCUAUCCGUUUACUUUAGUUCACUCAGAUGUUUGAGGUUCUUUUCGUACUAUUUCUACUUUCAAGUCUAGAUACUCUGUUACAUUUAUUGAUGAUUUUUCCUAUUGCACGUGAUUAUUUUUAAUUAAAAAUAGGUCCGAAUUAUUGUUUAUUUUUGAACAAUUUCAUACAGAAAUUAAAACUCAAUUUGAUGUAUCAAUUUGCACUUUGCGCAAAGAUAAUGCCCGUGAAUAUUUUCCUAAUUAGUUUUAAAAUUUUAAGGUCUCUAACAGCAUUCUUCAUCAAACAUCUUGUGCUCAUACACCUCAACAAAAUGGGGUAGUCGAACACAAAUCGACAUCUUAAUGAAAUCACUAGCACUCUCCUUCUUCAUGGAAAUGAGCCAUUUCGUUUUUGGGGCGAUGUUGUAUUAACAACAUGAUAUCGUAUUUCCUUGAUAACAAAGUCCCUCACUCGAUCCUCUUCACUCACUUCCUCCUCGUGUCUUCGGGUCUACAUGUUCCUACCACAAUCUCACUCUUAGUCUUGACAAACUUUCAACUCGAUCACAAAAAUGUGCCUUUCUUGGUUAUUAUCGGUCCCAAAAAGAUUAUUGUUGUUAUUCUCCUACUUUUCGACGACAUCUCAUAUCGACUGAUGUCACAAUUUUUGAGUUUGUUACAUACUAUGGGUCGUUUUUUGGCCCUCUGUCUGCAACCAUUCCUGUAGACCCACCAAAGUUUGUUUCACCUGUUUUUUUAAUACUAGAGCCUAUUACGUAUGUCCCACAUGAGACACUUACAGUUACCUCUCCUGUUGUCUCGCCUGAGACUCUUCAGACAUGUUGCGGUUGUCAACCACCAUCGGUUGUACAUGUCCUACACCCGUUCUUGAAACCGAGGUCAUUCCAGACGUUCCUCCUCCACCACCUCCUUGAUAUUCUUAUUGUUAUUCGUAAAGGCAUACACCCUAAUUGUAACUCAUCCCUCAGUACAUUGGUUUGAGUUACCAUCGUCUUUCUCCUUUGCAUUACACUUCCUUGUCUUUUGUUUCUAUUCCUAAACUCCAGCUGAAGCUUUAUCCCACUCAGAGUGCAGACAAGCAAUGAUUGACGAGAUGUAUGCCCUUCUGAGUAGUGGUACCUUGGAAUUGAUUCCUUUACCAUCUAGAAAGUCUUUAGUAGUAUGUCGUUGACUUUAUACGGUGAAAGUUAGUCUUGAUGGUAAAAUUGAUCGCUUUAAAGCUCAUUUGGUGGCAAAAGGGUACACUCCUUGAGCUUGGUUUGCCAGAUUUAACACAAUAGUGCAACAAUUAGGUAUGAUUCGAAGCGAAGCCGAUCAUUCUCUGUUUUAUCGCCACUCUGCCAAGAAUGCAUUUACUUAAUUGUCUAUGUAGAUGAUCAACAUAACAUACUCCAGUUGAAACAACAUCUAUCUCAUCAGUUUCAAACUGAAGAUCUUGGCACACUUCGCUACUUCUUGGGUAUUGAGAUAGCCCAAUCUAAGGAUGGCUUAGUAAUUUCACAAAGGAAAUAUGCCAUGAAUCUUCUUGAAGAGACAGGUUUAUUGAAUGUCAAGUCGGUUGAUACUCCUAUGAAUCCAAAUGUCAAACCUAUACCUAAUCAGAGGGGCCAUUUUCAGAUUUAGGGUUUAGGGUAAAUUAAAUCAUCUCACAGUCACCCCUCCAGACAUUUCAGUUUGAAGAGGCAACACAAUUUGAAAGGUGAUCCACUUCUUGGUAUUGUGUUCUUGUUGGAGGAAACUUAAUAUCCUAGAAGAGUAAGAAACAAAGUGUAGUUGCAAGAUCUAGCACUGAAGCUGAAUAUAGUGUUAUGGCAUUAGUGACUUGUGAGCUCAUUUGGUUGAAACAAUUACUCAGAGAUUCAGUUUGAAGAGACAACACAAAUGACAUUAUUCUGUGAUAAUCAAGCAACAUUGCAUAUGGAUUCUAAUCCAAUUUUUCAUGGGAGGACAAACAUAUUAAGAUAGAUUGUCCCUUUGUAAGGGAGAAGAUUGAAUCAAUGACAUCACCAGUAGCUUUGUUAAUUCCAAUGAUCAAUUGGUAGAUGUCUUCACUAAGUCCUCGAGGUCAACGAAUCAAUUAUAUAUCUAACAAACUUGGUGCAUAUGAUUUACAUGCUCCAACUUGAGGGGGAGUGUUGAUAAUAUACUUAUGAUCUUUAUAUUUAUUGCAUAUCAUAUCAUGUAAAUAGAGAUAAUAUCUCCUAUAUUUAUUUGUGUAUUUUAUUGCCUUGAGCCUAUAUAAAACCGACUCCGUUGUGUAGUUCAGACACACGGUUUCACCAAAUGUCUCUCAUUGAACAUUAACAAUAAGUGAAGUUACAUACCAGAAAGAUAGAAGGAGAAGAAAUGCUGCAAAACAAAGUACUUUGGGGAAUGCUGCAAAACAAUUUUCAACAGUUUAAAUAAUUUAAACAAUAAAAGCUUAUCACUGGUGUCUAGUUAAUACAGAACAAAGGCUUACCCAUAAAGAUAAAACCAAAAGAGUGUGACCAAUAUGUCCAUCCCUUGCAAGCAGCAAGAAGUAUCAAUGCCAAAUAAGUGAAGUAACCUGAAAUUUGAAGUUAAGAAGUUUGUAUCAAUGCCCUACACAUUCAGGGACUAAAAUGAUAGUUUACCUAUUAGAAGCAAAAAUACCUACUUUCACACUUCUUAAGGCUAAUAGUUAAGUCCAUUUAAUUUUCUUAAUUUCAUGUAAAAAAAAAAAAAAGGGAAUACAUUUACUAACAUACACCUAAUUAUAAUGGUUAUCUCCUCCGAACAUUAAGUAACUAAUGUACAUAUAUUUUUGGAACAAUGGCAUUAAAUGUGAAUAGAUUAGUUGACAGAUUCUUAUAUUUGAGACCAACAAAUACAUGGGUUAUUUUGAUUAUAACUGAGGCCCAAGGGAGAAGCAUUUAUCCUACAUGUUGUUAUAAAUACAGAGUGCGGUAUGAUUUAGAAACAUAGAAAUCACAAAUUCAACACGGUUAUCAGAGUGAGUUAUGAUUAUGUGACACAUAGGGUUCAUCACAGCCGCUGCCAGCAGUAAGCUGCUGCCAGAAAAGUUUUCCGGCAAGCUUUCAUACUUUUCCAGCACUUCUGUAUCUCUAUUCUGCGAGCCUUCUAAAUAAUUUGACUUCUAUCUCCCAAUUUGUCCAACACCAAAGUUUCAUCUGCAGAAGACCUUUCAUGCUCCCACACGCACUCUGCGCAUUGACUUGGUUUUUCAUCACCGCAGUUGUCGUUAGUCGUGCAAAGGUACAUCCAGUGAUAUCUCUGGCCAAUUUUUUGACGACAAGAUCGCCCCACCCAUAGGUCCUAGAUCUACCAUUAUUUUGGAGUUUCAGAACACUGUGACAUAGUUUCCCGUGCAAACAACCCUUUUUGGACACAAUUUCUCUCUCUCUCUCUCUCUCUCUCUCUCUCUCUCUCUCCCCCCUCUACAAAGAUCUGGCCUUGUUUGGUUAUGUUGUGGCUUGUGAUUUCUUAUUAGCUCUUCUCAGUUCGUCAACAUUUCCAUCUUGCUUUCUUCCUGUUGUGCGCAUUCACUAUGCUUCAUCCAAUCCGUUCUUCUCAAGAACGUUGAUAAAAUAAACACCAGAUACCAUAUGGAAAGAUGGUGGAGGCAGUAUUUGGUCAAAUGAUAAUAGAGAAGGAACAAUGGCAAAAGAGCCAAGACCUGAUAGUGGAGGAGGAAAUAUUAUUGAGUACACAUCUACCAACCCAAAUGACAACAUGUGGACCUUGGAUGACCUUGUCUCUAGCCUAUGAGUGCAACAACGAAGAAGUUGUGUGAGCUCUCAAAUCAAUUACUAAGGCCAAUUAAGAUGAGAAGAAACGGCGUCACCAAAGAAUAAUUGGCGAUAGAUGGUGAUGGUGGUGGUAGUAGAAGCAUUAUUGGGCAUUAGUUAAGUUGUGGUUUUGACAACAUAAAUGAAUGGCUAAUGUGGAAAUAUUAAUGGACGAGGUGAUGAUGGGUUCGAAAGCAAGAAAGUAAUGGUUUAGGUAGAGAUGAUGAUAGGAAGUGUGAGUGACGUAGUGAAAAUAAGCGGUGAGUUUUAAUGUUCAUAUUAGCAACCUUUGAAGCAUGUGUGGAGGAAGGAAAUGGUGGCGUGGGUCAUAGUGAUCCACAACCCCCAAAUGCAAAGGAACACAUUGUUAAUAGUCUGGCAUUUCCAAAAUGGAAAUGGAGAGUAUUAUGUGGACGUAGAUAAUUAUCUCCUGUUUCACUUGGAUUAUAUUUCUAUACUUUUGGUGAUACUUCUAAUGGUGUAAAGGAAAACAGGAAUCAACUAUCUAGCAUAUCCGGUACUACCUCUAACAACCUAUGCAAGUAUAAGACAUUAUAUAACUGCAGUGGAUAUUUGGUAGAGAAAUGAGAUCUCCUGUCAUUUCUAACAAGAUACUAAUGCCAAACAAAAUGGAAUAGAAUGAAGGGGGGAAACCAAGAAGAUAAUUAGUAAAACAAAACUUCAAGGUUGAUGGUAUGCUACUAAUGAAUGCAUGUCAUGACAGGUAUGAAACUAUACAAUUUUCUGAAGAAAUGGCACGGUUGUGAAUAAAACCUAUCUAAAUCCAAUUAUUAUUAUAUAUGAAGAUAAAGUAAUAGAUAAAAUAUCAGGAUGGCUUCAUAUGCUGUUGCAAAAUAUGAAAUAAUAAAAGGCUCAAUGCUAACCAUUAAAAAAAGGAAAUGAUAAAAAAUUAACAAUCGGGACCUAAAAUAUAUCAUGUGAUGAUCACUUUACAGUAGACUUGAACAUUAAUAGUAAAUACAACUAACCCCAAUUCGAAGAACCAAUCAAUAGAUGAAACACCUGCAACCCAUCAUAUUUACAUUUCAUGAGAAGGUAGAGUAUAUUUAACAAAAGCUGGUGUAAUAGCAAGUAAUAAGCCUAGAGUGGUAAGUAACAAGAAAACUAAAUACCCAUAGAAAAGUUUAUAUAUUUAUAAAAGUUCAAAGAAUAAGUAAUAGAAGUAGCAUAUUCCUAAUAUGUGCAAUAUACAAAUAGCUAUAUUGCUAUAUUCCAUCGCAUGUCUAUCCUUUCUUAUUAUAAAGCCAGCAGCAUUGAAAUCAGCUUCUGUAGACACAUGGACGUUACAUUGUGGCUAGAGUUUGUUGCAUAAACUGAACAUUUAAGAUAUACACAAACAAUAAAACAUGCAGCACUGCAUCAGCAAAAUUUAGCAAGGAUGGGUAGCAAAUGGUGAAAAGAAGGGUCUGGGAAAUCUGGAGUAAGGGUGGCAGAUAUUACCAUCUAGAAAGUAACAAGCAGAUAGUUACUUAAAUAGUAACAAAAACAUACUCUCCAGCUUUACUAUAAACACAACAAGACCAUUGAUUUAUAUCCUGAUUUUAAAAUGCAUGUUGAGUUGGAAAGGCUCUCAAUUCUUGAUAAUUGGUACAGUACAGCACAACCAUAUUUAGUGUGAGAGACUAAAGUAUUGAUCAGUAAAUUGUGGCCAGUCAUGUAUCAAUUAUUAGUUGUUACCUUUACAAACUAAACAAGUUCAUCCAUUCAGAAAAUAUCAAAACAAACUAAACAAGUUCAUCCAUUCAGAAAAUAUCAAGUCAUAGUAGCAAUUAGAAAGAUAGUAGCUUGAAAAAUGCACUUACUUUUUGUCGAGUCCAACCCUCUUGUAAGCUUCUCAAGUGAAUCCUCAGUAACUGUGGUACGAAAAUAAAAAAACAAAAAAACCGACAAUGAGUAAAAGAAAAGAACAACAUCAAUAAUUCACACUACAGCACAAGGAGCUCAAAUCUCAAUUUCUCAAAGUCAAUAUCAUGAAAUACAAUCCCAAACACUCGAUUCUUGUACUGAAUAACUAGAGAACUCAAGUGGAAGUGAAAUUAAGAUUAAGUUAAUUAACCAAGUUUGACAAUUUCGCAUGCUCUAAUUAUUCCUAACUGAAAUUGUAUUUAGAAAAGGUGUUCAAUAAAAUAUUUGUCAGAAAUGAAAUUUUUACUAAAAAAGAGUUACAAUUCUCUGGUCUGUCAAAGUCAUUAGGGCAUUAAAAAGUCACUAUAAACAGCAAAUAGACAGACACUACACAAUUGAAUUUGUCAAUCAGGAAGAAACAGUAAGAAAAUUGAGAAUCUGAAUUGAUUCCGUAAAAUAAAAACACAUUUUCCAUGCCUAGUUUGUUAUCCAUCCAUGUGACAUUCUGACGUAAGAAAUGCAAGAAAACCUAAAUUGAUGGGGGAAAAAAAGAAUGAAAAAUGGUAGAAAACCUGUAAAGAAGCAAUGAAAGCAAUGAUCGCGUGAAGGAGAGAGAGAACGAGAAUGAGAGGGAAGAGAGGAUAGGGGAAACAGUGUCCGGCACCGAAUCCCGUCAUGGUGUGAGGUUGUUGAAUAGAAGAAGAAGAAGAAAGGGAAAAAUGCGUCGUUGGUGUUGUAUACUCUCUUUCUCAGAGAGAAGAGAGAAGAGAGAAGAGAGAUCUCUAUUUAUUUAUUUAUUUUAAAAAUAUAUUUAUCUAUCUGUGUGCAUGUAAGAGAGGAACAACUACACCGGCAUAUGAAAUGGAAGGGCAAAAAGGGUAUAAAUAAAUCUGUUGUGAUUUUGCCAGCCACCAAGAAAAUGAAUUAUGGUCGUCUUUCUUUCUUUCUGUGGAGAAAAGACGCCUCUUCUUUUCCCUCACAUGAUUCUAAUCAUCAUUCAUUUUAUUCAUUAUAUUAACAAAUCCAACUCUUCUUCUCUCUCUCUCUCGCGGCACACGUUUUUCUUACCUUACAAAAACCUCACUACCUUUGUCAAAUGUCAAAUUAAUUUCACUGCUGUGAAUCCAUUUUAUUCUAAUUAUGUAUGCAUAAAUAAUAUUAAUUAUUCAUUUUAUUAUUAUAAAAUGCUAUUAGCUAUUUAAUAUGUCAAAGCCACGUUGGAUUGGUUAAUUCAACCCAAAUCUUUUAAUCAUUUGAGUCAAUUUUACAAUCAAUGUAUUAAAAGGAAAAAAAUUAUGAAAGAUUGUACGGUUGGAAUGAGGCAAUUUUAGGAUAGACUGAGAUUAUAGGCGGUCCAUCGUGUAUUAUAUCAUUUUCUAUUGAUAUCUUUUUUUUUUUUUAAUUAAUGGACAAAGCUCCUAAACAACACAAAAUAUUAAAAACCUCUGUAACCAAAGUUAAAAUAAAUAAAUGAACGCUAAGAAAAAUUCUUACAUCAAAUGAAAUAUUUAAAUUGAAAUUGAUUAACCUUUAUGAUAAAAAGUAACGCUCAAAGAAGAAUUAAAGUGACUUUAUAAUAUGUUUGUGAAAAUAUUUGUAACUUUUAAUUUGAGACCAAUGAAGAUAUAACUCAAUCGAUAUGAUGAUGGAUUGUUUUUAUUUAGGUAAUUUUGUUGAUAAUCGUUAUUAAUUUAUUAACGGCUACGGUUAUAAAAUAAAUAAAUGAACAUAGAAAAAUUUCUAACACCGAAUUAAUAUUUAAACUGAAAUUGAUUAGCCUUUAUGAUAAAAAGUAAUGUUCGAAGAGAAAUCAGAGUGAUUUGAUAAUAUAUUGUGAAGACCUUUGUAACGUCUAAUUUGAAACCAAUGAGAAUAGAACUCAAUUGAUAGGACGAUGUAUUGUUUUUAUUUUGAUAAUUUUAUUGUAAUAGAUAAAUAAAGACAAUAUUAAAAUUCAGGAAUAAUUUGGUUUUUCAUUCAGGGACUAUUAUAGAUAAAUUAAAAUUCUUAUCUGGUGCAUGGAUUAAAUUCAAGAAAAAAGGUUUUAUUUUAAAUUUUACCUUUAUCAUUGGUGUUCUCAACCUCUUGUGUGUUUAUGAUUUAACGAUUUCUAAGCAUAGAGAAUUUAGGAGUUUGUUUUGAGACAUAAUUUGUCGCGUUGGUUUGGAUAUUAACGACAAUAAUUGAUGAUUAAUAGAGAAUCGUUGUAAUAAUUGCAUUCUAGUUUUGCAUUAAAAUAGUAAUUAUCCCGAGGGCAAAUAAGUAAUUGAUUAUAUUGUGUAAAACAGACAAUUAAUGAGAGCAAAAUCCUCAAAAUGUGUUUCAUUCUGAAUUUAAUCAUGCACCUAUUGAGGUUUAUUAUUGUCAUUGAUCUUGUUGGGUUUCGUUUGAGUUAUAGGCUUCAAGGAAACAUUUAAUUCAUGGAAGCCCUUUUGAGAUAUGAUUGUGAGGAAGCUUCUAUUGGAGUAAGGGAAAAUUAUCAACGAGUAAUGAGUGUACUUGGAUGAGUAAUGAGAGAUUAUUGGUUAUGACAACAAUGUGUAUGUAGUGAUUGUCCCUUGUUAAUGUUGUAUGAACAAUUUCUCAUUGAAUAUUUUGUUGUUAUUUUUUUAAUAAAUAAAUGCCAGUGAUUAGUAAUUAAUUAGAGGAUGAGAGGAAUUCAUUCCCUUACCUAUAGGCUACACAUUAGGGGACUUCAAUUUGAUUUAUGAUUCGUGAUUAUUGCAUCAUUAUUAAUUGUGCCUUGUGAAGAUUACCUAUAUUAUAUUAUUAUGUGUUUAAUUAUUGUGAAACAUUGCAAUGAUCAUGUGUAUUGUGGCAAUGAACAUUUUAAAAAGGCUUGUAAUGAUAUUUUAAAUUAAGUUGUUUUUUUUAGAAUAAAUGAUAAAUUCUAUUAUAAUUAAUCUAAACAACUGCAAUGAAUAAAUUAUUUAUUAAGAUGAAAGUGUGUCGAUUGAGGUUAAAAUUAUCAAACACAUGAAUAGGAAAGAAUUGUUUGUUGGUUUAUAAAUUAAUAGGAUUACCUUUGGAAUCCAUAUAUAGUGUUUGCCAAAAAAGAUUCUUAUGGAGAAUAACUUAAGCAGAUGGUUGUAGAGACAUAGUAGCGAAAAUAUAUAUACAAGUGAAUGACGUUUUAUCUCUUGUUGAUACAUGCUAGUUAGAAUGCAUAUGAGCUUCAUCGUGAUUUUAUUUGGAUCAAAUUUGGACUUUUGAAAACAUCCUUUUUUGUUUGAAGACUUUUGUAUAAUCAUAUUUCAACAAAUGAUAACUUGACUUAUCGUUGAAUUGCUAAUUUGAAUUCACAUAUUUGUGUUGUUGGUAAUUGGUAUGGAGUUGAUGAAACUAUCUCACAUUUGUCUUUUGAUUGUCAUUCUUUUGGUGGAAUAUGACUUAAUUUAGGGUUGAUUGGGCAUUAGUAAUGUGCUCCCUAAUUUGACACUACAACAUGUAGUUUGUGAUACAAAUACUCCAACUUACACAGUACAAUAAAUUUAAGUUUAAUUUCAAAUACUCAUCAUUUGUUUAGUUGCUUAAUGAUUGAAUGUCAUUUACGGUUUAUGGAGAUGUUAUUAAAACAUAUAGUUUGUGAUACAUACUAUUCUGUUUUAAACUAUAAUAAAAAUUGGUUAAAGAAAAUUGAUAUAUUUAAAUUAAAUAUAUUAUUUUUUUAAAACUUUUUUUUUAUGUUUUUAGGAUGGAGGAAUUUAUUAAUAUUAGAAUAAAGAAAAUGAGUUAAUUAUCUUUCAUUUCCUGAUAAUUAAUACUAAUGGGGUAAAUAUAUUUAACCAUAUCCAUUUAUAGUUGUACAAGAGCAUUCCUAUCACAUACGUGGAUAUUAUGCAUGUAUGAGAUAAGAAAACGAAAAGAAAAGAAUAUUAUGCAACAUAGAAACUUGAUGUCAGUGGAAUAUGAAAGCAAUGAGCCAAAUAGUCAUCAUUUUCUCGUAAAACGUACACAAUUGAGAGUCCAUAUUAAAUAAUAAUAUUCUAAAUGUUUGUUACAAAUGGGGCAACUAUCUCCUUAAUAUUUAGAUUUUAGAGUUCAAUUAGAUUUAAAGCCAAAUUUCAUCAUGGUAGCGGAAAUUCGUAUUAAUUUAAUUUUAUUAAAAAAUUUAAGUUUUAAAUAUUUUUUAAUAAAAAUGUUUGUCGAAAAUAUCAUAUCGAAUGACGUAGUCUGAAGGCUUAAACUUCCCACAUUAGAGAAAAACCCUAAUGAUACAAGAUUUAUUGUAACAUAAUAUACAUAAAAAAAAAAACAAGUCUUUUAUGUUUGAAUUACUUUAUUAUUAGUUACUUUCUAAAUCUUAGUGUUUUCUUCAUUUGUACUUUUCAAUUUAACGAUACAUACGUCGUAAUUGAUAUUAAAUGAAGUUUCUUGGGAGACAAUACUCAAAAUUGUCAUUUUAUUGCUUGUAAUAAUUCAAUUCAAUUAAUUAUAAAAGUUUUUUUUACAAGAGACUGCAUUAAUUUUACAAGGUGCACAUACAACAUCAUUCUCUUAAUUAAAAAUAGGUCAUUGGUUAUUUUAUAUACGUUUAGACACUUUUAUGUUGCUGAGUGAUGAAAGUUGAUUAAGUUUCAUCGAUAUAUUGAUAAUCACUUACUUCUCUUUCAACUAAUUUCAAACCUCACCAAAUUCACUAGAACCAUAAUAAAGUUGAGCAACAAUCACUUACUCAUUAUAAUAGAUUAUAAUAGAUUGUAUAAGCGUUGAUUCAACCUCAUCAAAAUAUUCCAAUAAUACAAUGCAUCAUCUUAUUCUCAUCAAAUUCACUUCUUAAUUUUCAUUCCCAUCAUACUCAAUUAGAAAACUCCAUCAAUGAAAUCAUUUCCUUUUUCUUUUUUCCCACCCAUUUCCCCAAAUCCAUGCUCACCAAUAAACCAAUCCAGCAACCACUAAAUUUGAUCAAUUAAACUCAAAUAAAAACAUAAAACAAGAAUAUUUACAAAGCAAAAAACGAAUAGUAAGAAAAAUGGGUUAACACUUACAACAACUAAUUAAAUACACUUAAUCAAUAUAUACAAGAUUCGUUUUAACAAAAUACGAUUAAGGAAAAUAAUACUUUUAUGAUUGAAUUACUUUAUUCAAUGUACUUCACAAACUUCGGUGUUUUAUACAUUACUUAGUAUGUAGUUGAUAUUAAAUGAAAUAUUUUAAGAGACAAUAUUCAAAGUUAUUAUUGUAUUUAUUGUAAUAAGUCAUAAUAAUUGAUUAUCACAGUUUCCUACAAAGAACCAAAACAAAUUUUGUGAGGUGCAUAGAUCAUAUCUUUCUCUUACUUAAUUAAAGAUGAUUAUCUUUUAUACUUUUAGAUAUCUUUGUAUUAUAAAGUUCUCAAAAAGAAUCAUUAUGUUAUGGUUCUUAAAAUAUAAAUAGAAAUACUUGUAUUAAUUUAUUUAUGUACAUACACAUCUAACUUAAAACCAUUGUAGCCAUCAAUCUUAUACAAUAUUUGUUGGAAAUUGGUGACAUAUUUUUUCGUGUAUGACAUUUAGUGCUUUCCCGAUAUUUGGCAACUCAUCAAAUUUACAUGACAUAACAUUUAUAUUACUAUUUUAAUAUUUAUGUUGCAUGUUUUAGUUUUAAAUUUAAAUUUAGAAAACAAUUAUGUUGCUAAGGAUAAAGUUGUAUGAUAGUUACUUUUAAAGUUUGAAAAAAAUUGUUAUUUAAAACUAAUUUAUACAAAAAAAAAAGUACCUAACAAAAAUUGGUAGCUAGUUAUUUUUUUUCAAACAACAAAUAUUUUAUAUAUAUAUAUAUAUAUAUAUAUAUAUAUAUAUAUAUAUAUAUAUAUAUAUAUAUUAUAGUAUUGAUAGUAUCAUUGUUAUAAAUAUUUUGAGAGUUAAAAUUAAUAUCAUCUUUUUAGUAAUGCAUUCCAAACUUACUAUCUCAACUACUAAAUCAAUUUUAUAUCUUCAAUUCAAUACUUAAUUAUCGGUUUUUAAUUUUAGAGUGUUUUUUUACUAAUUACUUUUAGAAUUCAUUUUAUAUUACGAUGGUAUAGAUAUUAUUAUUGGUUACAACUAUUGCAAUUAGGUAUCUUUCAUUUUUUUAAUAGAUAAAUGGGUAUGUUCCAUUGAAUUAAUGUAUCCUAAUUCUCGUCUCAUAAUAAAAUAUCCCCCCACACCUAAUAGUAGUUAUCUUUUAUUAUUUAUAUUUAUCUUUUUUUAAAAAAGAUUAUUUAUAUUUAUCUUAAUUUAAUUAAAAAACACUUUAAUAUAUUAUUAUACUAUUUCAUUGUCUAAUUUAUGAAAAUUGGGGAUGUUAUAUCGUGUUUUACUUGACAUUUGAAACUAUAUUUUUUUUCCAAAUUUCUUUAUUUUUAGUUUUCAAAUCCAUUAAUUCUCACCUUAAUGAAAUUGCUUUAAAGUAUGAUUUUAUCUCUGUUACUUCUAUACGAAGAAGUCUUGGAUUCAAUGCAACAACUUAUAAACUUUUUGUCGAAGAGAAAUUUGAACAUAAAAACCCAAGAAACAUGCUACAUUAAAAAAUUCAAAAAAAUCUCAAUUUUGUACAUAUUUAAUUGAUCUAAUACAUAAAAUUGAUAAAGCAAACAAAUCAAAUUUUAAUGUAAUCUCAACUUUUUGUUAACAAUUUUUAUUAUUUACUUUAUUUUAAAAUAUAAAUUACUCGAUUUAGAAGAAUUUAAUGUAACUUUUACGUGUAUUAUUUGUUUGCAAGUUAACUCAUAUGCCCGAGCAAUGCACGGGUGACAAAAUACACUAGUAUAUUAUUAUUCACAAUUUCGGUGAAAAUGUAAAACUUGACCUGAGAUUAUUUUAGUUAGAUUUUAAAUUUAAAUUAUUUUGAAUGAUCAAUUUUUAAGUAAAAUUCGUUAUUUCCUAACUACUUGAACCUAAUCAAUUGAUAGUCAUAUGAUAUAAUAAGAAUAUUCAUCUAUAUGAAUAACUUUUUUUAACUUAUAAAUUAAUUAUAUUUAAAUAAAUAAAAAACUUUAUUAUCGUUAUGAUCUACAUAUAAAUAAAUAAUACUUAAUAUUGAUACAAACUUUAGUAUUUUUAUUUUUCUUUAAUUUCUCUAAUAAUUGAAUUCCUUCGAUAUUACGUUUUCUAGUCACAUCAAAUUAUUGAUCACCACUUAUUGUUCAUUUGAUAUAGCAUCAAUAUUAAGAGAAAAUAAAAUUUGAUGAAAGCAAACUAUAUAUUUGUUCCAGACCAGACUCAAGAGUUUAUUUGCGAAUCAUAGUGGAUACAACUUAUCAACCCUAACAAACUAUGAAAAAUCUUAUAGGACUUCAUACAAAAGCACAUCUGGCGCAUAUUAAAAGUAUACAAUAAUCUAACCUUAAACCUAUAUAUGUCAGACACAAAUUUAUUUGAUUGUUAGAAUGUGUACAAGUACCAUCUCCUCCAAAAGGUUGUAGUCUUCCUUCGUUGUACUUCCUAGUCAUUGAUCUAGUUCUACUCUGAAUCAAUAUCCAUAGUUUAUCACACAAGUAUUAUUUCAAUUCAAUUGAGUGCAAAUUUAUAUAGUCCCCCGGCUUAUCACCGACAUAAGCCGACAGUCUAUUCAGGGUUCCAAACUCAAUGUUGGCAACUAAACACAAAGGUUGCGCUCGUUGCAGGACUUAACCCAACACCUUACGGCACGAGCUGACGACAGCCAUGCACCACCUGUCCGCGUUCCCGAAGGCAUCCCUCUCUUUCAAGAGGAUUCGCGACAUGUCAAGCCUUGGUAAGAUUCUUCGCUUUGCAAAGUCCAACAUAAACAUAUCCUUUACCAUGACCAAACAUAUACAAAGAUGAAAAAGCAUUUAAAAUUAAAGCAAUACAACAUAAUUUUAAGAUUUUAGAAGUGAUCAUCGCCAUUAUCAUAACCAUUGAUUGGAGGCAAAGAUAAAUUCUCACUCUCAUCAAUUGCAUCAUAUAUAAGUGGAUUAAUAUCCUUGUGUUUGAUUUGUAGGGUAAGAAGCAAUAACCGAUUUACCUUUUGGAUCAUUAAGAUUAGACCCAUGGGCUUGAUUGGGAGGAAAGACAACAUCAAUAGGUUAGGCUCAUCCAAUGGAAUCAAAUUAAUUUAAUGUUUGCAUGUCAUUUCUUACGUGGGAAUAAAAGCAAAAUUGGAAAGAGUAUUCUUACUCAUUUCAUCUAUGGAAGAAAAAGCUACAAGAUUUUUUUUUUUUUAUAAACCACUUUCACUUACAUUAGAAGAUAAAAAGCAUGAAAUAAAAUCAUUUAACAUCAUUAAUUAAUAGAUCUAAUCUAUCUCUAAUAGAUUGAGAUACCGCAUAAAUUUUAUGAACAAAUUCCAUAAUUUUGUAUUUCUUUCUCCUAACAAAUUAACCGCUAAUAUUUUACUAUAAAAAAAAAUCGAAUGUAAAACCUAGGAUUAAUUAGAAGAUAUCUUGCAUGCCAUGAGAAGAAAUCUUUCCUCUAUUGUUUGAGACUUUACUUAUCAUUUUUAUUUGCCAAUUCCCAUAUAGAUGCAUCCAUUUAUUUUCAAUAUCUUCAAAGUUGCACCUUGUGCUUCCUCAAUAUAUGUUUGAUCCAAAAGUUCAUUAUUUUUCUAUUCAAAGAAGGCUCUACAUAACAAAAGGGUUUUAUUGUUGGACAUAACAUAAGAAUAUCAACAAAAUCACCACAAAGUGUUGAUAACUCGUAGGACUUUUUGUGAAUGCCAUUCUUUCGCUUUGAAAGUGCUACGAAAAGAUCUUUCUUUCUCUCAAUCUUCUUCAUCUCUCGCUUUUGUUUUCCUUUUGUCGUUUUACUCACCAUUUUAAUUCAUUAAUCAAAAUAAUACUAAUUGAGAAGAAAGAGCAAAUAAGCUAUGUAAUGUUGUAGUUCCUAUUUUUAUGUGUUAAUAUAGACAAAGAAAAUAUGGGGGAGUUGAAUUCUAUAAUAAAGUAAAUCAAAAUGUUAUGUGCUGUGGUUUUUCAAUUAAAAUAACCCAAUUUAAUUAAGAUUCGCUAGAUAAAAACAUAAAUGUUUCAUUAAUUACCAUGAUUUCACAUCACGCAUUAUUUUAUCAAAAUAAAUAAAAAAAGCAUCACAAUUAUAUUUGAACCCAUGUGCAAAUUUAUAAUUUUUGGUUUAACCAUGUGGUUCUUAAGAAAAAUACUUAUAUGAUAAUAAAGAGUUUAGUGGUUCAGAUAUAAGUAAAAUUUGAUUAAAGAUAAUUCCUACUAUAAUUUGAAUUCAGAUUAUUCUGAAUGAUUCAUUAUUAUUUGAAACUCAUUACUACUUGAUUCCAACCACUUAAAUCUCUCUCUAUAUAUUUUCUUGUUUUUGAAAAAUUUAUAAUUUAAAAAAAAAAAUAUCGCUUUAUUUAACUAAAUAAGUUCCUAUAUACAUAAUCAUAUUGAGAUAUAUGCUUUGGAUUUUUAAUUUAGUCUUAUAUUUCAAGAAAGCGUUAUGGUUAAUUAAACCAACCUUAUCAUACGUAUACAUGUAUUACAAAAGAGAAAAUAUUAAGUUAUAUUAUAUGAUAACAAUUUGUUAAAUUGAGAAUAUAUAGAAAAAUUAAUUAAUUAAUUAAUUUUUUGCCUUAUGUGUUUGGAUUUGCCUCUUUAUUUUUUAUACAUUCGUUUUUUUAUUUAAUUAUAAGUUCCAAUCUCAAUAACAAUUAACUUUGAAAAUAUUAAUUAUAUGCAUUAUAAAAUUCUAUUUUACAUAGUCUUAUUAAUCGACUACAGUAAUUGUUAAUAUUUUUAUUUUAUCAUGUAUUGCUAAUUCAUAGUUUAUAGUAGGGUUUUAAUUAAAAUUUUAAAUUAAUGACAGUGAAUAAAAAAUUUCCUCCACAAAAAAUUAGAUAUUUUUAACUUGGGAUAAAUCAAAAAUGAAAUUUUAAAAUGCAAAUAACUAAAGAUAAAAAUAACAAAAAUAUGAACCUAGUAAUAGACUUCAAAUUCAUUUUUUUUAGAUGAACUUUUAGUGAUUUUAUAAAUAUAUCUAUAAAAAAACAUUCAAAAAUAUAUAAUGGCUUAACAACAAUAAUCAAAAUAAAUUACAUGAUAAUUUUAUAAAUACUAAAAGUCGUGCCUUUUAUAGAGAGUAAAAAUAUAACAUUAAAUCUUUUAAGGAAUAUAAACAUAUUUAAUCCUAUUUUUUAAAAUAUGAAUUAAUAUUUAAAAAUGAUUUUCAACAAUAACUGUAUAUAUAUGUCCAUUUACAUUGAAAAUUGAGAGGAUUUGAACCUGAUAUUUUACAUAAUAACUCAGAGUCCCUUAUUCUCUUUCUCUCCAAAUUCUUCUAAAAUAGAGAAGAAUUUUUUUUAUAAAAGAAUUAUAUUCUCUUCAAAUUUGAACCAAACACAAUUAAAAAAAUAUUUUAUCUCCUUCUUUCGCACCAAAUACACUCUAAAACUUGUAAAUCAAUAAAUUAUACUCAUUUUAGUUCGUAAAAAAGUACACUUACUUAAUUAGUGACUUUAAAUGUAAUAAAAUUUAACAAUUUCGGUAUUUUUAAUUUAAUAGUCAUUCAGUAACUUUUUUUAAUGUUGUCAUUUCUAAAAUCCCUUAAAUCAAUUAAAAUUUUAUUUUUGAAUUACUAUUUUGUUCUUAUAAAUGAGAGGUUGAAUUAUUUUGGAAUCAACAAAAUACAGUACUUUAACGUUUCCGGACAUCCAAUAAAACUAGAACAAAAUAAAAUAUUUUUAGUCAUACUAAUAAUAAUAAUAAUAAUAAUAAUAAUAAUAAUAAUAAUAAUAAUAAUAAUAAUAAUAAGAUAAUUAAUAAUAAUAAUAAUAAUAAUAAUAAUAAAUAAAUAAAUAAUGUCCAUUAAAUAUUUUUUAUUGACAUGAUUUGGAAAUUAAAUUUACUGCACAUCUUUUAAGAUUUUUAUAAAUUAAAUCUUGUCUUUUGUGUAUAAAUGUAUCUCUUGGGAUUUUUCAUUUUCCAAGACAAAUUGAUGCAAUUAAUAAGAGAUAUGUACAAAGGAACGAUAAAUGCAAUUAGUAAAUUAUAUAAGAGCUUAUAUUUUGGAUUUAUUUUUUAAAAGAGGACUUCUAAUUAAGGGAUGAUAAUUUGAUUAUAUCCAAUACGUGCCAGAAAAAAUUAUAGAAAAUAAGCAGGGUAAAAUUCUCAAAAUAAUAUAUAUAUGAUAACAAUAUUUUGAUACAUCUUCAAAAUUCUCAAAACAAAUUAUCUAUUAUUUCUCUGUCUUUUUCUUUUAUGUUGUGGUGGAUUUUUCUACUUUGCCACGGCAUACUUAGCACAGCGAUGACACUCCAUAUAUUUAUGUAACAAUAAUCUCGUUUAAUAAUAUUUGAGUCAGAUUUGUAAGAGACGCAUCAUAAUUUUUUAAUGGAAAUGUAAAAUUUUAUUUAAAUUUUAAAGAAAAAAUUGCCUAAACAAUAAAAAUAUGUCAAAAUCUAAAAAAAUCAAAUUGAAUUUUUUUUUUGGUAACAAUUAUUUUAUCACAUGCUUAUAACAUUUUCCCACUACCUUUUAGAAUUUUUCGAUAAUUUACUUCCAGUAGUUUAUGAAUUGAUGAUUUCUAGAUUAUAUAUAUAUAUUGUCAAAUUUACCCUUAUUAUUUUAAAUAAAAUUCUUUUUAUCCAUUAUAGUUUAUUUAUUAUAAUUUAAAAUAAAAAAUAUGCUUAUAUCACAAUAUAGACAUGGUUGAAUAGGAAUAUGAUAGAACAGUCGUAUCUUCUUUAAAAAAAAAGUAAAAUGCAUUUUUAUUAUGUAAUAUAUUUAUAUUGUUAUAUGUCUGUUGUUAAAUUUUAUUACUAUAAGAUUGACAUAUAUGGAUUAAAUAUAUUUUAAAAUAAAUUUUAGAAAAUAAAAGUUAAUUUGAUAAUAAAAAUUUUAAAAAUAUAUUAGUUUAAUAAUUUUAGAUGACUGAGAAAUAAAUUUUAGUUACUAAAUUAAAAAUAUUGAUUGUUAAAAUUUAAUUAUCAAUUAAGAAUACAUUUUUAUGUCAUUUUGUAUUUUAAAAUUAAUUAACUUAAUAAUUUUAUUAAACACUACAAUUAACUUAUUUGUUAUCCACUCUAAAAUUUAAAGAUAGAGAUUUUAUUUCACUAAAUAAUCAUCUAUCCGCCUAACUUUAACGAAACAGAGCCAAAAUUUAUCAUAUAAUUUUUUUCAUUUUCAAUGUUGAAAAUAGCAUUAACAAUUAUCUUGUCAAAAUGAUCUAUAAAUAUUUAUUGCAGAUAGAAAAAUAAAUGAAUUAAGAUAAUUAAUUAAUAGUUAAGGGUGCUACUAGGAAAGAAUAAAUAAUUUUAUCAAAAGUAACAAAAUUUAAUAAUUGAGAAAAAAAGACUAGUAUUUCAAUAAAUAGUUUUUUUUUGGGUAUUUUAAAAAAAAAUGGGCUAAAAAAUUAACUACUACUUUUAAAUAAAAUAUAAGCAACAAAAGAAUUUAAAAUAUAAAUAUAUUUAAUCAUAAUUUUUAACUAAAUACAUCCACUUAUUCAAUACAAUUUUUACUAAUAUUUCAUUCAUUAAAAAUAGAGAUUUUAUUUCACUAAAUAAUCGUUAGCGGUAAAUUUACCAUAAAUACAAUUGAAAAAUAAUUACUAGAAAUGGAAGGAAUAAUAAAUUUAUUUUAAGACAGUCUUUUUUAUAUAUUUCCUUAACAUUAAAUUAAAAUUAACUUUAACAUCAAAUAUUAUUUAACCCACUUUUACAUGAAUGUAGCCAAUACAUAGAGGAUUUUACCUUGAACUACAAAAUCUAUAUUCAUUUGAUAUAGAUUUUAAAUUAAACACACACAUAAUUGAAACUAAAUUUAUUAAAUUAAACAAAGAGAAACGACUCGAAUUCACCCCUAGUAUUUAAUUUUGAUCAAUUUGGGUUUUCCCCAUUUAUUGCCAUGAUUUAUUUUGAUAAACUGGAUAGGUCUAUUUGCAAGGGCAAGCAAAGAUGCAGCUGCAUCAAUUUCACUUUGAAGCACUUUCAAAGAAUCAUUCACUUUUUGAAGCCCUUCAAAAUCAUAAGCAUCAAGAUCAAUAGGGUCUUUACCUUUUUCCAUCAACUCUUGGUUCAAAUCAUUAAGCCUUUGGUUGAGCUCAUUGAUCCUUCCAAUUUGGGGAGAUCCACCAAUUUGCUUUGAUGAUUCACCUCCCAAUUGAUAAUUUUCUUCAUUGAGAAACUCAUUAGUCACAACUUCAAAAGUUGGAGAACCAAAAGCAAAAAGGUUACCACCAGGAGUGUAACCACUCAAACCAAUUCUAGAACCACAAAGAAUUGAUAACUCACUUGCUUUUUUAAUAAGACCAUUUUUUCUCUUAGAAAAUGUAACAUUUCUACAAUCCCUAUUUCUCACAAAUUUAAUAUCUAUUUUUUUACGGCCCAUGAUCACAAUUCUUUCCCAAGUUGAGUUUGUGGAAGAGAUGGGGUGGUAUUUAAAGAGGAGAGUUGUGUUUUUUUGGCCUUUUGAAAUAAUUAUAAUUAUUUAUUUAAUUGAAUUAAAUUAAAUGUUAUAGGAGUUUUUCAAUUAUUAUACAAUACUUUUGAAUUAAUUGAAAGAAUUAAAUAUUUAUAUAAUAUUGGUUUUUUUUUUAAUCUUAGACAAGUGAUAAAAUGUAAAUAUAGAAAGGUGAUAAUUGAUUAUGAGUUGUUUUUAUUUUUUGAAUACAUUAAAAUCCAUAAAUGUAAUUUCCCCAUAUCAUAUGGCCAAAGUCAAAUAAAUAAUAAUUUCAUCGUUUUAAUUUUUUUUUUCUCGCACACAAUUUUGAUGUUUCGGGUUCAAACUUAAUAAUUUUGAUAUUUGUCAGUUGAAUUAGGUCUUGCGUAUCAUUCAUUUUAUAUCGAUUCAAACUCUGACUUAGCUAAAUUAUAUAUAUUAAAAAAUAUUAUUGAUGACACGCACAAAAAGAAAAAUAUUAUUGAUCAUAUUAAAUCUACAAUCUCAAUUUUUUUUUUGUCUAAGUGAUUAAUACAUUGGAUCAUUAUAAAUAAAUAAAAUAAAGUUAAAUGAAUGGCAUUUUAGACAUACUAUUAUUAAAUAGUAGAUAAACUAUUGAUUUUUUUUUAAAUACAAAUUAAUUUUUUUUUUUUAUAUUCCAUUAUAAAGAAAGUGUAUGGUCAAACUUAGUAUAGUCACAAUAUAAUAACUUCGUAUUUUGUCUUUAAAUUUUAACUCAAUUGAUAUUACCCAUAUUGUUAUGUUGGAGGUAUUGUCUUGGAUUCGAACUCAAAGUCUCACAUAUGAGUGAGUUUUAUGAAGUAUUUAUUAUCCAUUCUACGAACUAAAAAAAUAUAAUUGUUUUAAAAAAAAUACUAUAAUAACUUUUUACAAAAUACAAAUUUUACGAAUUCAACGGGUGAUUCAUGUUGUAUUAUCAUGAUAAGCACACGCCCAUUUUUAGAUGAUUUUAACAUCUCUGGUCAUGCCAUUUAAUAGUGCAUAUUCUCUCCGGUCUUAUUUGGAAGAAACAAUUGAGUUAUAAUUUGGUCAAUAAAGUUGAUGUAUUUGAUUCAUAUGAGUUGAUAUAUUUGGUUUAUAUAAACUAAUUAUAUUAAUUUUUAUUGGACAAAUUAUAAUUCAAUUAUCUCUUAUAGAAAAAUUUGAAAUAGUGUAUUUACUUACAUUUUAAAUGUCGAAUUAUAUAUUUAAUUAAAAUAAUCCGAUUAAACAUAAAAAAAAUCUAUACUAUUUGAAAUUUAACAUAUUUUAUCUAUUUAGUAACAACUUGUAAUUCCAAGAUUGGAUUUUUCAAAUUUGAAUUCUACACAAUGAUGUGUAACUAUGCUAAGUUUGGGGAUUAAUUAAAUUAAAUUUUAAAAUAAUUUUAUUUUAUAAUAUUUGGGGAUUGUGGAAGACAUAGGAUGGUAUUUAAAGAGGAGGGUUAUGCUUUUUUGGCCUUUUGAAAUAAAUAUAAUUAUUUAUUUAAUUGAAUUAAAUUAAAUGUUAUAGGAGUGUUUUCUGGUUAGAAAUUAUUGUACAAUAUUUUUGAAUUAAUUGAAAUAAUUAAAUAUUUAUAUAAUAUUGGUUUUUUUUAAUCUUAGAUAACCGAUAAUUGAUUCUAAGUUGUUUUUAUAUUUUAAAUACAACGUUAAAAUCCAUAAAUGUAACUUCCCCAAAUCAUGGCCAAAGUCAACUAAAUAAUAACUUGAUCAUUUUAUUUUUUUUAUUCUUUUUUUUUUCUCGUACAUAAUUUUGAUGUUUCGAGUUUAAACUUAAUAAUUUUGAUAUUUAUCAGUUGAGUUAGAUCUUGCGAAUCAUUCAUUUUAUAUCGAAUUAUGAAUUAGCUAAAUUAUAUAUAUUAAAAAAAUUAUUAAUAACAAACACACAUAAAAAGAUUAUUAAUCAUGUUUAAUCUACGAUCUCAAUUCUUUCCUAAGUUUAGAUUGCGAAAGAGAUGGGAUGGUAUUUAAAUAGGAGGGUUAUGCUUUCUUGACCUUUUAAAAUAAAUAUAAUUAUUUAUUUAAUUGAAUUAAAUUAAUUGUUAUAGGAGUUUUUCCUCGCUAUAAAUUAUUACACAAUACUUUUAAAUUAAUUGAAAUAAUUAAAUAUUUAUAUAAUAUUGGUAUUUUUUAAUCUUAGACAUCAGAUAAAUUGUACCCAUGGAAAUCUUGUAAUUGAUUCUGUUAUUUUUUGAAUACAACGUUAAAACUUAUAAAUGUAACUUCCCCAAAUCACGGCCAAAGUCAAAUAAAUAAUAACUUCAUCCAUUUUUUUUUUCCUUUUCUUUUCUCACACACUAUUUUGAUAUGUUGGGUUCAAACCUAAUAAUUUUGAUAUUUAUCAGUUGAAUUAGGCCUUACGAAUCAUUAAAUUUGUAUCGAAUUUGAACUCUGAUUUAGCUAAUUCGAAUUAUGAAUUAGCUAAAUUAUAUAUAUUAAAAAAAUAUAAAUUACAAACACACACAAAAAGAUUAUUAAUCAUAUUUAAUCUACAAUCUCAAUUCUUUCCCAAGUUGAGAUUGCGAAAGAGAUGGGAUGGUAUUUAAAGAGGAAGGUUAUGCUUUUUUGGCCUUUUGAAAUAAAUAUAAUUAUUUAUUUAAUUGAAUUAAAUUAAAUGUUAUAGGAGUUUUUCCAAACUAUAAAUUAUUACACAAUACUUUUGAAUUAAUUGAAAUAAUUAAAUAUUUAUAUAAUAUUGGCUUUUUUUAAUCUUAGAUAACUGAUAAGCUGUUUACAUGAAAAUGUGGUAAUUGAUUCUGAGUUGUUUUUAUUUUUUGAAUACAACGUUAAAAUCUAUAAAUGUAACUUCCCCAAAUCAUAGCCAAAGUCAAAUAAAUAAUAACUUCAUUGUUUUAUUAUUUUUUCUUUUUUCGCACACAAUUUUUGAUGUUUCGAGUUCAAACCUAAUAAUUUUGAUAUUUAUCAAUUAAAUUAGGUCUUACGAAUUAUUCAUUUUAUUUCAAAUUUGAAUUUUGAGUUAGCUAAAUUAUAUAUAUUAAAAAAGAUGAUUGAUUAAACGCACAAACAAAUUUUUAAUUAUAUUUAAUCUACAAUCUCAAUUCUUUCCCAAGUUCGAGAUUGUGGAAGAGAUCGAAUGGUAUUUAAAGAGGAAGGUUAUACUUUUUCGCCCCUUUGAAAUAAAUAUAAUUUGUUAUUUAAUUGAAUUAAAUUAAUUGUUUUAGGAGUUUUUCCUGACUAUAAAUUAUUAUACAAUAUUUUUGAAUUAAUUGAAAGAAUUAAAUAUUUAUAUAAUAUUGACUUUUUUAAUUUUAGACAACCAAUAAACUGUACACAUAAAAAUGUGGUAAUUGAUUCUGAAUUAUUUUUAUUUUUUUAAUACAGCGUUAAAACCCAUAAACGUAACUUCCCCAAAUCAUGGCCAAAGUCAAAUAAAUAAUAACUUCAUUCAUGUAUUUUAUUUUUUCUUUUCUCACACACUAUUUUGAUAUUUUGAGUUCAAACCUAAUAAUUUUGAUAUUUGUCAGUUGAGUUAGGUCUUACGAAUCAUUCAGUUUGUAUCGAAUUUGAACUAUGAUUUAGCUAAUUGGAAUUAUGAAUUAGCUAAAUUAUAUAUAUUAAAAAAAAUAUUAAUUACAAACACACACAAAAAGAUUAUUAAUCAUAUUUAAUCUACAAUCUCAAUUCUUUCCCAAGUUUAGAUUGCGAAAGAAAUGGGAUGGUAUUUAAAGAGGAAGGGUAUGCUUUUUUGGCCUUUUCAAAUAAAUAUAAUUAUUUAUUUAAUUGAAUUAAAUUAAAUGUUAUAUGAGUUUUUCCUGACUAUAAAUUAUCACACAAUACUUUUGAAUUAAUUGAAAUAAUUAAAUAUUUCUAUAAUAUUGGCUUUUUAUAAUUUUAGACAACUGAUAAAAUGUACACAUGAAAAUGUGGUAAUUGAUUCUGAGUUGUUUUUAUUUUUUGAAUACAACGUUAAAAUCAAUAAAUGUAACUUCCUCAAAUCAUAGCCAAAGUCAAAUACAUAAUAACUUCAUUGUUUUUUUUUUUCUCGCACACAAUUUUGAUAUUUCGAGUUCAAACCUAAUAGUUUUGAUAUUUAUCAGUUGAAUUAGAUCUUACGAAUUAUUAAUUUUAUUUCAAAUUUGAAUUCUGAAUUAGGUAAAUUAUAUAUAUUAAAAAAGAUUAUUGAUUAAAUGCACAAACAAAUUAUUAAUUAUAUUUAAUCUACAAUCUCAAUUCUUUCCCAAGUUGAGAUUGUGGAAGAGAUGGGAUGGUAUUUAAAGAGGAGGGUUAUACUUUUUUUCCCAUUUGAAAUAAAUAUAAUUUGUUAUUUAAUUGAAUUAAAUUAAUUGUUUUAGGAGUUUUUCCUGACUAUAAAUUAUUAUAUAAUAUUUUUGAAUUAAUUGAAAUAAUUAAAUAUUUAUAUAUUAUUGACUUUUUUAAUUUUAGACAACCGAUAAACUGUACACAUGGAAAUGUGGUAAUUGAUUCUGAAUUGUUUUUAUUUUUUGAAUACAACGUUAAAACUUAUAAAAGUAACUUCCCCAAAUCACGACCAAAGUCAAAUAAAUAAUAACUUCAUCCAUUUAUUUUUUUUUUUCUUUUCUGACACACUAUUUUGAUAUUUUGGGUUCAAACUUAAUAAUUUUGAUAUUUGUCAGUUGGGUUAGGCCUUACGAAUCAUUCAGUUUGUAUCGAAUUUGAACUAUGAUUAAGCUAAAUUAUAUAUAUAUAUAUAUAUAUUAAAAAAGAUUAUUGAUUACACGCACAAAAAGAAAAAGAAUAUUGAUCAUAUUUAAUCUACAAUAUCAAUAAUUUUAUUUUUGCCUAAAUUACCCUAAAUGAUUAAUACAUUGGAUGAUUAUAAAUAAAUAAAAUUAAGUUAAAUGAAUGGAAUUUUAGACAUAUUAUUAUUAAAUAGGAGAUAAACUAUUGAUUUUUUUAAUGAGUUUUUUUUAAAAAAAAGAUAUAAAUUAAUUUUGCUUAUAUUUCACUAUAAAGAAAGUAUAUUGUCAAACUUAAUAUAGUCACAAUAUAAUAAUUGUAUUUUGUCUUUAAGUUUUAACUCGGUUGACAUUAUCGAUAUUAUUAUGUUGGAAAUAUAAUCUUGAAUUCAAACUCAAAGUCUCACAUAUGAGUGUGAGUUUUAUGAAGUAUUUAUUAUCCAUUCUAUUGUCCUAAAUUAUAAUUCAAUUAUCUCUUAUAAAAAAGAUACGAGACAGUGUAUUUACUUAUAUUUUAAAUGUCGAAUUAUACAUUUAAAUAAGAUAAUUCAAUAAAACAUUAAAAAAAAAUUAUACUAUUUGAAAUUUAACAUAUUUUAUCUAUUCAGCAACAACUUGAAAUUCCAAGAUUGGAUUACUCAAAUUUAAAUUCUACACAAUGAUGUGUAACUAUGCUAAGUUUGGCAAUAUAUAUAUAUAUAUAUAUAUAUAUGGAAAAAUACACAUAGUCCUUUAUGUUGGUCAUCUGUAUUAGAUUAUUCUUUCAAUUUUAUUUAUUUAUUUAUUUAUUUUAUCAUUUCAGCCUUUCAAGUCAUAGAUCGUGCAUACAAUUGAUAUUGAUUUAUAGAUAUAUUUAAAAUAUGUUUGUAUAUAAUUAAUUUUAAUUUUUUAUUUAGUGAUAUUAAUUAGGAUUUAUUUGAAAAGAAAACAACAAUUUAUCUAAUAAUUUAAAAUUAAACUUAUAUUUGUAAAAUGAAUUAUUAUAUUUAGAGAUGCAAAUCUUAUUAUUAACGGUCUUAAGGAUCAAUCGAGUCAAUAAAAACAUUAAUGUACUUGAUCUAAAAAUAUAUAAAUUUUUUUAUCGGCUCAGUUAUCUUUAUGUUUAGAAGCAUAAUAUCAACUUUUUUAUUUACUCAACUGAAAUUAAAAAAUUAAUUUGAUUUUUUGUUAAAAAAAAUAAAAUUUAAGAAUUCUAAAAUUAUUCAUUUUCUUCUCUAUCAUCAUCCAACGUCUCAUUUGUUGAACAAUUAUAUCUUAUUGAAAGAGAAAAUGGUAUAAUAGAAACAAGAAAUAUAUUUAGACCAAAAAAGAAACAAGAAAUAUAAAAAGAGUGUUUUAAUAUAAAUAUUUAAAUAGUUUUUAAGGUUGAAUCUUCGACCACAUCACCAUUUUCCACCCAAAAAUAGUUGUCACAACUCCUUGAUUGGGAAUUUCAAACACACUAAAAGUUAAAGUUUAAUUUUGUAGUUGGUUGAAGAAUAUGUCGAAGACCAAGCCAUCAAAUAUGUUUCACUAUAUUCUUCUCUUAACUUAAAAUGUCAAUUGAUGCUGAUUUGGAGAAAGAGGAGGUGAAACAAAAUACAUAAGUUAAAUUGUAGAAAUUUAACUCCUGCUUAAUCAACCAUGUUAAUAAUGGGUUAUAUUAUAAUUUCAAUGGUGACAUAAGUAGGUAACUAAAUCAACUUCAUAAAGCCAUAUAUAAGCAUUUUAAAAGGUAACGAUAAACACAUGUUAUGAUUUAAAAGGACAAUCUAAUAAAAAACUUAAAUAAUCAAUUUAGUACAAUUUUUUUUUUUUUAAAUUGGGGAAGAAAUUUAUUUUUUUACUAAUCAUUUAUUACAAUGUCAAUAUAUAUAUAUAUAUAUAUAGUCAUUUAAUAUUUCGAAACCUUUAACAAAUGAAGUUACCAUAAAUUUUAUAAAAAGAUAUUGUAAACUUUCUCAAAUUCCCAUUUACUAUCUCUUUUUAAUUACAUGAGUUGAAAAAAGAUAUUAUCAUAUUUAUAAUAGUUAAGGCUACCGUAAGAAACAUUUAACUAAUUAAUAUUUCGUUUAUAUAGUAAAAUAACAAAUAAAAUGAGAUAAAUUGCUUUUGUUGCUAAAAAAACUUUUACAAUAUAGGAAAACCUAGUAGGCAAUAUAUUGAAAUUAAUUAAGACAGUAUGUAAAUAAAUAAAUAAAUUAAUUAAUUAAUUAGUAUUCUCACCAUUUCUAAUAAAGUAUUGUUUAAGGUUUCUUCACAAGAACUAACAAAAUCAAUCUUAAGGAGUGAAAUAAGUUUCUUGAGUUGGCCUUGUUAUUUGUAGUAUUAUUCAUAUAUUGUUGUAAAUGCAAUAUAUGAUAAUCACUGAAUAAUUUUUUAAAAUAAAAUUAGAUACGUUCUGAAAAAGAUAAUAUUUCAUCCGUUCUAAAAUAAUUAAGUUAUUUGAUUAUUUUAUACAAUUAAAAAAAAAUAGUAUAACUGAAACAGCGAUAAUAGUAUUUUUUUUAUCAAAUUAUCUUUAUUAUGUAUUAAAGCAUUAUCAAAUUAUCCUUGUUAUGUAUUAAUGCAUUAUUAAUGUUUAUAAAAAAUAUAGAAAUAUGACAUAUAUGCUUAACAUAAAAUGACAUUCAAUAUAAAAAUUUAGGUUAUAUAUUUUCCUGAAUCGAGAUUCAUAUAAAUGUGAAUCAAUUCAUGUGUUUUGCAUUUCACAAAUCAAAUUUAGAGUAAAAACGAAUCGAUUCAAGGACAUUACAUCAUAAAUCCAUUCCCGAAUUUGAAAAUCCCUUUAAAAUGUAUUUAUGUAAAUUUUAAAUGCAAUCUUAAUUAUCAUGCACCUAUAUAUAGUAGUAUGCAUGAUUAAAAUAGGUUUUGUCAAACAAUUUUAUGAUUCACAAACUUAAGCGAAUAUACAUAGUCUAAUAGAUUUCGAGUUUUUUAUAUAAAUAUCUCUCUUUUUUAAAAAAUUUCUCUAAUUACCUUACUUUGAAACUUCUACCUUUAACUUAUUUUUAAUUUUAAUUGUUAUUAUUAUUAUUAUUUAAUUUUUAUUUAAUUGUUAUUAUUAUUAUUUAAUUUUUAUUAUAAUUUAAUUUAUUUUUUUUUAAAUUUAUAAUAUAAUAUAAUUAUUUUUAUUUAAUCAGUUUAAUUAUAAUAAUUUUUAAUUAUGAUUAUAAUAAUAACUAAAAUAUAAAAUUUAUUUAUAAUUUAUUAAUAUAUUUUAUUUUAAUUUAUUAUUAGUAUUUUUAUUUUUUAAAUAAUUAAAUUAAUAAUUUUAAUAAUAAACUAAUUUUAAAAUAUAACAAAAAAAAAAGUUCUCAAUUAGAGGUUGCUUUCCCAAGAAACGACCUUCUAUUGAAGUUAAAAUUUUUUUCCUUGAGGUGGUCGCUUUCCCAGAGAACGACUUUCUACUGAAAAAAAAAAGUAGAACAUUUAGAGAAAUAAAUUUUAGACUAGGGCAAUUAAGAAAAAAAAUUAAAAAAGAAAUAUACAUAUAAAAAACUCAUAGAUUUCAUAUUAAUUAGUUUUGCCUCUAGUGAUGUUAGUGUAUUUUCUUUAAUGUCUUUCUUAAAUAAAAAAGUUCAUCUAAUUCUCUAACCAUUUUCACAACCAAAUAUUCAAUGGUACGUAUUGCCACGUCCUUAACUACUCACACUACACACAUGACAAUUUUAUAUGCAAGUAAAGUGACUUCACUAGUUUGAUCAAUUGAUGCAUAAUCUACAAGAAAAAUUGAUCAUUGAUGUAUAAUCUAAUGAUUUUUCAAACACUAUUUUACCAACUACCACCGUUUUAAAAUUACAUAAAUUUAAUUAAAAAAUAUAUUUUAUUUGAUUAAUUAUUUUUGUGCGUUCAUACUUUCGACAACACAAUAGUACCUCGCAAGACUACUAGUACUAAUACUAUGUAUUAACUAAAUUAUAAAUCAAUUUAUGACUUACUAGAUAUGAUGUUGCUUUUAACAGAUAUUGAAAGCAAGUUAGACAUGGUAUUCAAGAAAAAUGAAUAUAGUCUAGCAAUUAAUCCUGGUCAGAAUUUACAAGCAGAUGUUGUAGCUACUUCUGAAGUAAUAAAGAAAAUAUGGGGAUAAUCUACAUACAUACUAUCGGUCAAACAUUUUAUACCUUCAUAAAUUAAGAAAAGUAAAAUAAACCCUCCCCUCCAAAAUCCUCCAUCCAAACAUACCCUUAGACAAAAACUAAGUAACUCAGUUCAAAUCUCAAUUGAUAAAAAAAAAAUAAAAAAAUCUGUUUAUUCACAUCAUAACAGAGGGAGGUAAACCUUGAGUUACACAAAUCAUCAAACACUUGAUGCUCAAUUUGUAAAACACACGAAAUCAACUAACCACUAUAACUACAACUAUCAAGCAAAAUUUCUAAAUUAUUACGAGAAGAAAUGUCACAAUUAAAUGAACGGAAUACCUAAUAAUCGAUAUUAGCUAUUAUUUUAAAAGUAAUAAUGUAGUAUAAUCUGAUUGAUUAAAUGUAAUGAGAAUUAUUAAUAAUAUGUAACAAAUUACAUGAGUGUUGUUAUUGUGGGAUUUUUGAAGGAAAUGUGUGUGAGAGAGUUUAUUAACUUUAUAUUUACAAAUAUAAAGAUGCUUAUUGUAUUCUUACAUUCAUUACCAGUUCCAUACACAAUCUUCAAUAUAUCUUGUGGUGUUCUUGGAUAUACCAACGAGUUUUUGUCCCCAACAAGGAUGUUUCUUAAGACUCUACCCUCAGCAUCUUGUUCUUUAGAGACCAUGAGACCCUCAUCUUUAAAACCACCAUGUCCUAAUUUAUUCCUAAGUAUUGAAAUGCGAUUGGUGAACUCUGCAACACUCAAGUGAUAAGGUUGUAAUAGAAGAAGCUCUUCGUAUAGCAAUGUUUGAAUAACUGCAUCUUGGCUCGACUCUACUCCCAAAAGACUUGUAACAAGCUGUUACAAUACAUGCAACAUUAAUAUGAUUAGCAAACUCAACAGUUUUUUAGGCCCAUAGUAAAAUAUUAGAAGAGACAUUUUUAAAAUGAAUAUAAUAAUAAUAAUAUUUAAUUAUAAAUAUGUAUUUUUAUGUUUAUAAUUUGCAUAUUUUGAAAAACAAUAUUAUUAUUAUUAUUAUUAUUAUUAUUAAUUUUAAUUUUAAUUGUGUAUACAUUAUACAACUAAUACAUAUGAUUAACAUAAUGCAUACCUAUAAAAAAAAUUGUUUGAAGUAAGUAAUUAUUUGUUCAAUUCUAAGUCGUUAUUAGAAUCAAUUUAUUUUUAUUUUUAAAUUAUCAUAAAUAAAAAUUGUAAUAUGAAAUACAUGGAUCAAUUUUGUGACGACAAAAACUAGGAUGCGAAUAAAUAAUCACUUUGUAAAAUUUUGGUAAUUUAUACAGAAUAGAUAUAGUCGAAAUUUAUAUGAGGACCUAAAUUUAAAUCUUAAAUAAUCUAAAAAAAAAAAGAGUGUUAAAGCUCUAUAUCACUUACUUUGAGGUAAAAUAGACUCUGCGUAUAAUAAAAUCAAUUUAAUAACAUGAAAAAAAACAAAUAAUACAUUAAAUGGAAUAACAAAAUCAUAAGUUCGUAAAUAAAAUGCAUCAAUAGGAUUACUAGUAUAUAUCUACGUUUUGAUAAAUAUUUUUUGUUUAAUUUGAAAAGUUUUCAAAGAUUGAGCUUGAGAUUAUAUACCUUCCUUGAAGUAGUAUUCUGCAAGAGUGGACUGGCACCAACAUAGUCGAUAAGACCAAUAUAAGGAAUUACAUAAGAUGCCAGAAGAAAAUUGAGAUCAUUGGCAUAGGGAUCAAAAGGAGGCACCAAAGGUCGACCAAAGGCACUAUCCAUCACCUUGGCAAAUGAUGAUGUGCUUAGUUCUAACAAAGGCCUAGGAAACCCUUUUACUGUCCAACUUGUUGUAAACCAAAUUGAUAGAUGAUAUCCUUUAUAGUGGGACUCAAUUUGGCCAAUUUUGCACCAAUAGGAGGAGGUCCAUCCACCCUCUGCUAACUUUGGAGCAACUACAUCGAGUCCAUGACCCAAUGAUCCAUAUAAAAAGAAUUUAGCUUCUAAAUAUUCUAAAUUAAAUAAGAUCAGAAUCAGAAUCUGAUUGUUGUUGUUGGGAGAUGGGUGUAGAAGAACAAGACUUUGGGGUCAAGAUGAGAGAGGCAAUUAACAAAAGAAAAUGGAGGUAGUGACUCUUGAAACAUAAUGUGGUGCCAUAUUUAAGGUCAUUUUAUGGUGAUAUGAUGAAUAUGUUACUAUUUUUAUUUUUUUAUUUUAUAAUAUGGUCACAAAAUGCACUUAUAUAAACUAAUUUUUGGUUCAUGCAUUUAACAAGUUUGUGCCACGUAAUAAGAUAAUGUUAUAUAGGCUUAUCACACUAUCUAUUAAUCAAUUGACUAUUUACUUUAUCUUAUUAAUUAUAUUUCUUUUUUUAAAAUCUUAUUAACUUUCCUCUUUUUGCAUCAUCUUUAUAUCAUUUCUUCGUUUCCUAAAAAAUCAAGCAUGGACUCAUAUGUUAUUUUACUACUUUCACUAUUUUAUUUUGUUAUCUUUUGUAAUUGUAAAAAAGAGUGGUUUAAAAAAAAAAAGUCAAAAUAAUAUUUGGGAAAGAUAAUAAUUGACCCACGUGUUAGUCAAAAAGUCUAAUAACUUAAACCAAGAGAAAAGGAAACACUAAAUAUGCUUGAUUUCGAAAAUUGUUCAAGAAAUAUAAAAAACUUUCAACAACCAUAGCAACCUUUUAAUUUUCAUAAAAAUUAUUUAAAUAAUUAAGGCUUAAUUGCAGUUUUGGUCUCCCUAUUUUAACUGAAUCGCAAAAGUAGUCCCCCCAUUUUGUUUCUCCCCAGUUUUGGUCCCCCAAGCAGAAUUUUGGUCCAAAACUUGAUGAAAUUUCAUUUUUUUUUGCAUUUAUUUAAGUCACACAAUGCCUCAAGAUCUCAUUCGCAACAAUUGUACCUGAAAUAUAUGAUCAUAAAUGAUGUAGUACGGCUUUAAAAAAUAAAAUUUCAUCAAGUUUUGGACUAAAAUUCUGUUCGGAGGACCAAAACUGGAGAGAAACAAAAUGGAGGGACUACUUUCGCGAUUCAGCUAAAAUAGAGGGACCAAAACUGCAAUUAAGCCAAUAAUUAAAUGCAUGCAAAAUUGAAUGUGUGCUCAAUUUUUGUAUUUAUUGAAAGUUGAAAGCUUACUCGGGGGAUUAAAAAUAUAAGACAUGCAAUCAAUUGUCAUUGUGCGAUCCGCUUUAAAUUUUUCUUUUAUAUGUUUCAUCAAAAUUGUUAGAGAUUUUCUAUAAAAAAAAAAAGUUAUUGAAUAUUUUGUUAUAUAUUUUAGUUUUAAAAAAUAAGUGUCUUUUGAUUCUUUAUGUUAGCAAACUGUCUAAAUUUUAUCUCAAAAAUUGUAUCAAAUUUUCUAUUUGUAAUUUUUUUUUUGGUACUUUGGCUUUUAAUUUUUUUUUCUUUUAUUAAGUUAACUCCAUGGUGUAUUGUUGGAGGGGUACAUUAAAAUCUGAAAUACUUGUAGAUUGUUUUGUGGCAAUGUGAUUAUUGUUUAAGAAAAUUGGAGAUUCGUCUAAUGAAUAGCUGAAGAAUUUUAUUGAUAUUGUAAUGUUUAGAUUUACGAUAAUGAUAUAUAUACAAUUACAAUUUUCAUAUAUCUAUUCAACAUUUUAUUUUUUUUCUAUUUCUCUUUUGCUAUUAUAUUUUUAAUAUAUUAUAUUUAUUAUAUCAAUUUUUUUAUUUCUUAAAACUCAAAGUAUAAUCACCGUAUGAGUGUACUCCAAACAUUUGUCUUAGUUUUAUUAUGAUUUUUUUUAGUUUUAUUAUGAUUUGGUUUUGUUAUACAACCAAUUUCAUUAUGUUUAAGAAUUUUAUUGUAAUAAAAUAUGUUAUUUUAAUAUUAUAAUUUGGUAUUAAUAUUUUACUAUUGUUUAAAACUAGCUUGAAUUUUUUAUAUUCAAAUAUAUGAGAUAUGUUGAGUUUUUUCUUAUACGUUUUUUAUAUUAGCUAUUUGUAUUUUUGCGGAAAGUUGGCGUUGGAUUGCACAAAUAUUGAAUAAAUAUAUAUUUAAUAGUUUAAAUUACAUGAAUUUAGAAUAUGAAAUAUAAAUAUAUACUCUACAAUUCUUUUAAAUAAAAGUUUAUUAUUAUCUAAAAUAAAAAUAUAAUUUAUUAUUAAUAUAAUUUGUCUUGUGUGACGUACGAGUUACACACUAGUAUAUUUAGAAAGAAAAAAAAGAUACAAUUGAAUUUUUCUUCAAUUACUCUUAUUCUAUUUAUUGACACCUAUUUAAAGUCAAGUAAAUAAUACUCUAACACAUCUUUUAUCUAUCAUAUUAUAUAUUAACCAUUUUGACACACUUUUUUUUAUUUUAUAUCACACUAUUUAUUUACCAAUUGACUAUUUACUUUAUCUUAUUCAUUGUAUUUCUCUUUUUCAAAUUUUAAAUCUUAUUAAUUUUCCUAUUGCAUCAUCUUUCUAUUAUUUUGUUCGUCACUCCUAAAAAAUAUAAAGCACGAACUCUUAUGUCAUUUUACUACUUUCACUAUUUUAUUUUGUUAUAUUUUUUAAUUAAUAUAAAAUUCAUGUUUCAAUUAUUUUUAUUUUUACGAAGAAAUAAACUUUUGAAAAUUUAUCUAUUUUUUUUAUAACAUCAAGAAAAUUUAGUCAACCAAAUGUGUAUAUAUAUAAAAAAAGAGAUAUAAUUGAAUUUUUAUUCUAUUUAUUGACACUUAUUCAAAAUCAAGUACAUAAUACUCUAACACAUCUUUUUAUCUAAGAUACUAUAUAUUAAUCACUUUGACACAGAUUUUUAAUUAACUUAAUGUAAGUUUUUGUACAUGGAUUAUUUAUUUUAAAAUAGUUCAAUUUGUUUUGUUUGAUUUAUACAGAUUAUGAGAGCACUAUGCUCUGUAUUUCGUGAUGAAGUUUUAAAUUUAUUAUAGUAAAAACAGUUUAAAACAGACCUCUCGCACUCUAAGUGAGAAUCAUACCACUAGACCAAAUGCCCAUUGUUGGUAACGGUUAUCGAUACGUAAAGUUAUUUUAAUGUUUAAUGCUUUUUUAAACGAAUUUUCUAUAUAUGCAAAUUGUCAAACCUAUCAUUACUCAUUUGUAGUACUUUACAUAUAAUUAUAUCCAAUAAUUGAUAUAUAUUUAAUUGGAUUGUUUUACAAAUAUAUUUCAUUGAAUUUAUGAAUUAGUUUUCAUGUAUAUAGCUCAUAUAUUUUGUUUUUUGACAUAUAAGAUAAUUUAUUAAUUAAAUAACUAAAUCCGGUGCAAAACAUCUUAAAUCAAUUGUUAUCAUCCAAUCAAAUUUACAUACAAUUUUUCCUCCAAAACAUUUAAUAGAAGUUAGAACUGAAUAUAAUUCUAUAUAAUAUUUUUGUUCUUAUUUAUAGAUGGAAUGAAUAAGGACUCGGACUAUUAUUUAAAUAAAAUAACUAAAUUCCUCAAAUUUCAUUAAACUUAAAUUUCAUAAACCAUCAACUACCAAUGUCAGAGCUUUAAACUAUCAUUUAAAAUAAAACUAUCAUUGGAAACUGGCAUUAGUUGAACCCAACGACACCAUCUGUUGAAGUAAAUGACAUUCUAGACGAAGGCCUGAGUUGGUUGGGGGAGUGGGUGGGUGGCUGUGAUUAAUUAAUAAUCAUUAAUCAAACAAAAUUCUCUUUAUAAAAUACAAUAGCAUGGGAACCUCAAUCUAAUAAUCGGAUUUCUUUGUUUGUCCAAACACUACACCACUACAACCAUCACUUGCUUUCUCUAAAUUUUCACCAUUUUCACCAUGACCAAAUCAUUUGUUUCCCUUCUGAUUUUUUUCUUUCUCCUUCUCAAUGCAGGUAGUUAUAUAUUUGAAUUUCAUUUUAUUACUUUAGAUACAUUGUUCAUUGUAUACAUUGUUCAUAAUUUCAAUCUCUCUUUAUAUACAUUGUUCAUAAUUUCAAUUGAAAAUUUACUUAUAUAGAUACUAUGUGCAAAUGAUUUUUUUAAAUCUAAAUUUCAAUAGUGGAAUCUAUUUCAUCAAAUAAACAAAUUUUCAUUAAUGCUUUAAAUUGCGAAAAACUUUACUAUUUUGACCCUUUUAGAUUCUAAUUUGUUAAGAUUUGAUUGAUUUUGAAUAAUUUUACUUGUGCGGGAGGGAAUUUGAAGUUUGUUAAUGGAAUGGUAAAAUAUUAAAUUCCUUAACAUUAUUUUGUGUUGAAUAGAAUUAAUUAAUUUAUGAAAAAUAGAAUUAAUUUGUGUUGAAUAGAAUUAACCAAGUAAGCCAUUUAUUGAAUGUUUAGUUUUAGUGCACAUUCACGUGCAAAGUCUUCAGCAAGUGAACGUGUACUGAAACUAAACGUUGAAUAUGUUUGCAAUAUGUUGGGUGAUUACAAGAUUAUUCAAUCAGGUGGAUCAUGUUUCUACCCCAACCCACCAUUGAAUCAUGCCUCUGCUAUAAUGAAUCAGUAUUAUGCAAAAAAUAGAAAAAAACCAUUGGAACUUCAACUUCUCUACCUCUGCUCUCAUUGUUCUUAUUGAACCAAGUAAGCCCUUUAUUGAAUGAUUAGUUUUAGUGCACGUUCACGUGUGAAGCCUUCAGCAAGUGAACGUGUACUGAAACUAAACAUUGAAUAUGUUGGCAAUAUGUUGGGUGAUUGUAAGAUUAUUCAAUCAGGUGGAUUAUGUUUCUACCCCAACCCACCAUUGAAUCAUGCAUCUGCUAUAAUGAAUCAGUAUUAUGCAAAAAAUGAAAAAAAAAACCUUUGGAAAUGCAACUUCUCUACCUCUGCUCUCAUUGUUCUUACUGAACCAAGUAAGCCCUUUAUUGAAUGAUUAGUUUUAGCGCACGUUCACGUGCGAAGCCUUCAGCAAGUGAACGUGUACUGAAACUAAACAUUGAAUAUGCUGGCAAUAUGUUGGGUGAUUGUAAGAUUAUUCAAUCAGAUGGAUCAUGUUUCUAUCCCAACCCACCAUUGAAUCAUGCAUCUGCUAUAAUGACUCAGUACUAUGCAAAAAAUGAAAAAAAAACCCUUGGAACUGCAACUUCUCUACAUCUGCUCUCAUUGUUCUUACUGAACCAAGUAAGCCCUUUAUUGAAUGAUUAGUUUUAGUGCACGUUCACGUGCGAAGCCUUCAGCAAGUGAACGUGUACUCAAUCAGAACAUUGAAUAUGCUUGCAAUAUGUUGCCUAGUUGCAAGAUGAUUCAAUCAGGUGGGUCAUGUUUCUACCCCAACACACCAAUAAACCAUGCAUCUGUUGUAAUGAAUCACUACUAUGCAAACAAUGGAAGAAACCUUUGGAACUGCAACAUCUCUAACUCUGCUCUCAUUGCUCUCACUGACCCAAGUAAGCCUUUUUUUAUAUAUAAAUGGAACAUGUAGCCUUAAUGUAAGUUUUUGUACAUGGAUUAUUGUUGUGUUAGAUGGGAUUUUGAAAUAGUUCAAUUUGUUUGAUUUAUACAGGUUAUGGGAGCUGCAAGUAUGCUUAGUGGGAAUGGCUACGGUGGAAGAAAUAUAGAUAUUAUAUUGUUGCAUAAGGAUUUUACUUAAUUGUUUAUCAAACUUAAUGAAUUUUACUAGGAUCGUAUCUCUGAGAUACUUUAUUUUAUUUAAAUAAAAAAACUGAAGUUUGCUUCAUAUAUAUAUAUAUAUGCCUUUGUAUUUCGUGAUGAAGUGAUUAAUGAAGAAAACGAGGCAUUCCGAAUACCAAUUGUUGGUAACCGCUAUUCAUACGUAUUAUCUAAUAAUUUAACGAUGUCUGCCUAUUUAUCAAAAAAGAAAAAAAAAUAUGUUUCUACCCCCACCCACCAUUGAAUCAUGCAUCUGCUAUAAUGAAUCAGUACUAUGCAAAAAAUGAAGAAAAAAAACCCUUGGAACUGCAACUUCUCUACCUCUGCUCUCAUUGUUCUUACUGAAACAAGUAAACCCUUUAUUGAAUGAUUAGUUUUAGCGCACGUUCACGUGCGAAGCCUUAAGCAAGUGAACGUGUACUGAAACUAAACAUUGAAUAUGCUGGCAAUAUAUUGGGUGAUUGUAAGAUUAUUCAAUCAGGUGGAUCAUGUUUCUAUCCCAACCCACCAUUGAAUCAUGCAUCUUCUAUAAUGAAUCAGUACUAUGCAAAAAAUGGAGAAAAAAAACCGUUGGAACUGCAACUUCUCUACCUCUGCUCUCAUUGUUCUUAAUGAACCAAGUAAGUCCUUUAUUGAAUGAUUAGUUUUAGUGCACGUUCACGUGCGAAGCCUUCAGCAAGUGAACGUGUACUCAAUCUGAACAUUGAAUAUGCUUGCAAUAUGUUGCCUAGUUGCAAGAUGAUUCAAUCAGGUGAGUCAUGUUUCUACCCCAACACACCAAUAAACCAUGCAUCUGCUGUGAUGAAUCACUACUAUGCAAACAAUGGAAGAAACCUUUGGAACUGCAACUUCUCUAACUCUGCUCUCAUUGCUCUCACUGACCCAAGUAAGCCUUUUUUUUAUAUAUAAACGGAACAUGUAGCCUUAAUGUAAGUUUUUGUACAUGGAUUAUUGUUGUGUUAGAUGAGAUUUUGAAAUAGUUCAAUUUGUUUGAUUUAUACAGGUUAUGGGAGCUGCAAGUAUGCUUAGUGGGAAUGGCUACGGUGGAUGAAAUAUAUAUAUAUAUAUAUAUUAUAUUGUUGUAUAUGGAUUUUACUUAAUUGUUUAUCAAACUUCAUGAAUUUUUCUAGGAUCGUAUCUCUGUGAUAAUUUAUUUUAUUUAAAUAAAAAAACUGAAGUUUGCUUCAUAUAUAUAUAUAUAUAUAUGCCUUUGUAUUUCGUGAUGAACUGAUUAAUGAAGAAAAUGAGGCAUUCCGAAUACCCAUUGUUGGUAACCGCUAUUCAUUAAUCAAACAAAAUUCUCUUUAUAAAAUGCAGUAGCAUGGGAACCUCAAUCUAAUAAUCGGAUUUCUUUGUUUGUCCAAACACUACACCACUACAAUCAUCACUUGCUUUCUCUAAAUUUUCACCAUGACCAAAUCAUUUGCUUCCCUUCUGAUUUUUUUCUUUCUCCUUCUCAAUGCAGGUAGUUAUAUAUUUGAAUUUCAUUUUAUUACUUUAGAUACAUUGUUCAUUGUAUACAUUGUUCAUAAUUUCAAUCUCUCUUUAUAUACAUUGUUCAUAAUUUCAAUUAAAAAUUUACUUAUAUAGAUACUAUGUGCAAAUGAUUUUUUUUUAAUCUAAAUUUCAAUAAUGGAAAUUAUUUCAUCAAAUAAACAAAUUUUCAUUAAUGCUUUAAAUUGCGAAUUUUUUUACUAUUUUGACCCUUUUAGAUUCUAAUUUGUUAAGAUUUGAUUUAUUUUGGAUAAUUUUACUUGUGCAGGAGGGAAUUUGAAGUUUGCUAAUGGAAUGGUAAAAUAUUAAAUUCCUUAACAUUAUUUUGUGUUGAAUAGAAUUAAUUAAUUUAUGAAAAAUAACAUUGUCUUUGAUUUAUUAAUGCAAGAAGAAUGAAGCAAGUUGGUGUGUUGCAAAGCCUUCAGCAAGUGAACGUGUACUCAAUCUGAACAUUGAAUGUGUUUGCAAUAUGUUGGGUGAUUGCAAGAUUAUUCAAUCAGGUGGAUCAUGUUUCUACCCAAACCCACCAUGCCUCUGCUGUGAUGAAUCAGUAUUAUGCCAAAAAUGAAAAAAAAAAAAAAAACCCUUGGAACUUCAACUUCUCUACCUCUGCUCUCAUUGUUCUUAUUGAACCAAGUAAGGCCUUUAUUGAAUGAUUAGUUUUAAUGCACGUUCACGUCUGAAGCCUUCAGUAAGUGAACGUGUACUGAAACUAAACAUUGAAUAUGCUGGCAAUAUGCAGGGUGAUUGUAAGAUUAUUCAAUCAGGUGGAUCAUGUUUCUACUCCAACCCACCAUUGAAUCAUGCAUCUGCUAUAAUGAAUCAGUAUUAUGCAAAAAAAUGGAAAAAAACCCUUAGAACUGCAACUUCUCUACCUCUGCUCUCAUUGUUCUUACUAAACCAAGUAAGCCCUUUAUUGAAUGAUUAGUUUUAGCGCACGUUCACGUACGAAGCCUUCAGCAAGUGAACGUGUACUGAAACUAAACAUUGAAUAUGCUGGCAAUAUGUUGGGUGAUUCUAAGAUUAUUCAAUCAGGUGGAUCAUGUUUCUAUCCCAACCCACCAUUGAAUCAUGCAUCUGCUAUAAUUAAUCAGUACUAUGCAAAAAAUGAAAAAAACUCUUGGAACUGCAACUUCUCUACCUCUGCUCUCAUUGUUCUUACUGAACCAAGUAAGGCCUUUAUUGAAUGAUUAGUUUUAGUGCACGUUCACGUGCGAAGCCUUCAGCAAGUAAACGUGUACUGAAACUAAACAUUUAAUAUGCUUGCAAUAUGCUGGUGAUUGCAAGAUGAUUCAAUCAAGUGGAUCAUGUUUCUAUCCCAACACACCAUUGAAUCAUGUCUCUGCUGUUAUAAAUCAUCUUACAAUCACCCAACAUAUUGCGACUUAUCUGCCUCUGCUCUCAUUGUUCUUACUGACCCAAGUAAGCCCUUUUUUUUACAUAUAAAUGUAACAUGUAGGUUUUUUAAAAAAAUCUAUCAAACACUUCAUUUUUAAAGAUUAAAUACUAUAUUUGGUUAUGUGACUUAUAACUAAAUGUUAAAAAUUAAAAUUUUUGUGUGUAAUGAUUUUAUUUUUAGGGGUGAUAUUUGAGGUUGAAAAUUGAGUAUUUGAAUUUUUUUAUUAAAUAAAUCAGUAAGAUAUUAAAUGUAAUGUAUAUAAUUCUAUAAGGAUAGAUUUUUUUUUUGGUUCUAUAUAUAAAAAUGGAAGUGUAGCAUAGCAUGUGUUUAACUUAAUAAUGUAAGUUUUUGUAUAUGGAUUAUUUUUGUGUUAGUGAGAUUUUGAAAUAGUUCAAUUUAAUUUGUUUUGUUUUGUUUGAUUUAUACAGGCUAUGGGAGUUGCAACUAUGCUUAGUGGAAAUGCUAUGGUGGAAGAAAUAAGAAAUAUAUUAUCAUAUUGCACCCUCAAUAAAGAAUCAUACCACUGGAUCAAAUGCCUCUUAUUGAUAACCGAUCUUCAUAGAAAAUAAUUUUAGUUUAAUGUUUAAAAGAAUUUUCUAAAUAUUUAAAUUGUCAAACCUAUGAUUACUAAUUUGUAGUAUUUUACAAAUAAUGAAUAUAUAUUUAAAAUGUGUUUAUCGGUACCUUUUAAAAUGCUUAUAAGGCUUUAUGAAGUUGAUUUAGUAACCUACUUAUGUCACCAUUAAAAUUAUAAUAUGACCCAUUAUUAACAUAUAAAAUAUAUAUAAAAACCAACUAAAGGAUUACAGAAUUAAGAUUUUAAAACUAAGGAAAGAAUAUGUAAAAAUAUUAAUUUAUAAAAAAAAAAUAUAUUAUUAUGUUUAGAUAAAUUAAACAUCCUUUUAGGAAAAAAAAAUAAAAAAAAAAAUUAUUAUUGAGUUGCAAGAGAAAAGAGUAAUCUUGAAAGAAUGAAUGAUAACAGAAAAUCAGAGUUGAAGAGUUGAGAGUCGAACGCAGCAACGUCUCAUCACAUGGCGAAAAUAGCUGCUUCUUCGGCCUCAGCCUCUACAUCCACCACCGGGUACCUAUUUCUUCUCACUUUCUCUUUAUUGGCUCCAACUUUUAUAAUUAACUCAAUUUAAACUAAUUAGCCAUUUUAGGUUAAACAAACUUAAUUUCAUGGCGGCAUUGUGAAUUUCAACUGUGUCUAGGUCUACUCCUCUAGGGGAAUUUUUUACAAACAAUGUUGCAUUGAGUUUUUCAGAAAACUAGUGUUGAGGAUUAAAUCAAAUGAGGGAAUGAAGAGAUCGUUGCGUCAGACUAAGUCAAGAGAGGAAACCAAAGCAAAUCAAAAUAAGAGCAAACAAAAGAUUGAUGCUGAGAAGCCAAAGAAACCCCCCACUGCUUUCUUCUACUUUUUGUAAAACUUCUUUUAUCUCCGUCUGUUCUUUGUUUAUACAUGGUAUUGUACUAAUUAAUCUACCAUAGUGACUGUGUUCAUUGGAAGUUCUUUUUCAUUCUUAAGGGAGGAUUUUCGGAAAGAAUAUCAACAGCAGAAUCCAGAUGUAAAGUCAAUGCGUGAUGUACGUAUAGAAUUUCUCCUACUAAUAUUUCUUCUAAUUUAUUUUAUACUUUUCAUUUCUCUUCAAGCAAGAUUGUUUCACACUUCAUCAUUUUAAAUUGUAUAAACAACACAAAAGUUAAGUAUCAAUUUUAAAAAUUACGAGUUCUUUAAUAGUUUUUGUAACAUUGUGCAACCAUCAUCAUUAUUAUUAUUAUUAUUUUCUUCAUCAUCAUGCAAAGUAAUAUUCUUCUUCUGUUUUCCUCCUUCCUGCGUUCAUACAGAUUGGCAAGGCGUGUGGAGAGAAGUGGAAAACAAUGACUUAUGAGGUAUAUUUUCCUCCAUACUUCUUCCUUCCAUAUUUAACCUGAAUUUUGUUAUUAUGGUUGUGAUGUUUGAUGGCUGAAAACUGAGUGAUUCAGAUAUUGGCUCCAGUAAUUUUGUCAAAAUUGUUUAGAAUGUUUGAACUUGAUUGAUCAUGACUUGUUUGAAUAUGGAUGAAAAAGUUUUGAACAAUACUCGUGAAGAACAAGUUUUUGUUAAAUUUGAAACAAUUGGAAUUCGUUAUGACUAUUUUGGAAUUUCUAGGUUAUGUACAUAUUUGGAAUUUGGCUACUGCAAUGCAAAACUGUCUCUGCUGGUUGGAAUUCCACGCUGACAUGAUCUUCAGUUUCCUGAUUGAUUUAGGGACAUGUUUUUUCGUUUUUUAUGUUUUAUUGGCGUUUAUUCUGCUUGUGCUAUUGCUGACCGUUCUGCUGUAUAUUCCAAAUCAAUAUAAAACUAGUUUUUCUCAAUUUUGUUUACUGUUUAAUUACCUGGCAAAGUGGAGUGGUUCAUGUAAUUUGUUCAAUUAGAUCCAAGCGAAAACGAAAAAUCACUUUGGUUAGGUUCAUAUUAAUAACAUCAGUAUCUGACAGGAGAAGGUUCAAUACUACGAUAUAGCAACAGAAAAACGUGCAGAAUUUGAUAGAGCAACAACAGAGUAUAACAAGAAAAAGGUAACCAAUCUGUCAUAUUCAUGGCCAGUGAGCUAACUCUUAUUUGGUCAGUUAUGAAAUAUACAAUUCUGUUAUCUGUUGCUUGGCAGCAAAAUGGUGAAUAUGAAGAUACCGACGAGGAGUCGGAGUAUGAUGAGUAAAGCCGUGUUGUCAUUUCUUAAUUCUUACUAAGAAGGCUCCAUCUGUAUCAAUUGAAACUACUUGGAAGUUGUAUAUUCAGUUGUAGUCAGCUCUCAGUUUGUCCUUGUGAAUAAUUAUCAUUUUCUGUGUCAUGUUUUGACUUUUGAGUAAAGUAAUUUUGUUAGAUGCAUUUAGAUGCUUAGAAUUUCAGCUGUGGGCUUAUAUGUUGAGUACACUGCUUAAUAGAAGAUAUUCCUUGCAUUUCAUAAACAUAUUUGUAUUCAAUAAUAUUUCCUAGUUAAUAUUUUAAUAACUUAAUGAAAAAUGUAAUUAAGUUUAUUGAAAAAUGUUUUGCUAAUUUUCUUCAAUGCUACUUCAGUUGAAUCGAUCGGGAGUGUGUGAGUUCUAACUCUGGCUAGAACAAUCUUUAGUUAGACUUUCUUUACCUUCAUGUUGAAUUUAGAUUAUCGGGACCAUUUCUCUUGGAAACCCAAGAAUUAAGAUCAAUUGUUCAAUAGUUGAAGUGAAACAAAUUAAAAUUUCACUCAAUUAGCCAACUCCACCCAUUAUUACUUCAAUAGUUGAAGUGAAUUGAUUAUUUCAAUUCUUUGACAAUGUGGGAUCAACAUCCACACACAAACACAAAAGUUAGAAUUAGAACAAAAGUCUAAAAUAGAAAAUGAGUAAGAAAGAUGUAUCCUAGCAGUUCUAAAUAAGUCUUAAGGAAGGAUCCAAUUUUUUUUAUUUGUUUACUUAUGUAAGUGUUCUAUCACUGUACUGUACGCAAUUGAGGAAGAAACACUCCGGUGAAAACAAGGUAUAGUAGCAUAACACCCCUUAAAAUCAAUUUUGAAUUAACUUAAUUGAAAAAUGUAAUUAAGUUUAUUGAAAAAUGUUUUGCUAAUUUUCUUCAACGCUACUUCAGUUGAAUCGAUCGGGAGUGUGUGAGUUCUAACUCUGGCUAGAACAAUCUUUAGUUAGACUUUCUUUACCUUCAUGUUGAAUUUAGAUUAUCGGGACCAUUUCUCUUGGAAACCCAAGAAUUAAGAUCAAUUGUUCAAUAGUUGAAGUGAAACAAAUUAAAAUUUCACUCAAUUAGCCAACUCCACCCAUUAUUACUUCAAUAGUUGAAGUGAAUUGAUUAUUUCAAUUCUUUGACAAUGUGGGAUCAACAUCCACACACAAACACAAAAGUUAGAAUUAGAACAAAAGUCUAAAAUAGAAAAUGAGUAAGAAAGAUGUAUCCUAGCAGUUCUAAAUAAGUCUUAAGGAAGGAUCCAAUUUUUUUUAUUUGUUUACUUAUGUAAGUGUUCUAUCACUGUACUGUACGCAAUUGAGGAAGAAACACUCCGGUGAAAACAAGGUAUAGUAGCAUAACACCCCUUAAAAUCAAUUUUGAAUUAACUUAAUUGAAAAAUGUAAUUAAGUUUAUUGAAAAAUGUUUUGCUAAUUUUCUUCAACGCUACUUCAGUUGAAUCGAUCGGGAGUGUGUGAGUUCUAACUCUGGCUAGGACAAUCGUUAGUUAGACUUUCUUUACCUUCAUGUUGAAUUUGGAUUAUCGGGACCAUUUCUCUUGGAAACCCAAGAAUUAAGAUCAAUUGUUCAAUAGUUGAAGUGAAACAAUUUAAAAUUUCACUCAAUUAGCCGCUUCCACCCGUUAUUAAGAAAGCAAUAUUUCAAUAGUUGAAGUUAAUUGAUUAUUUCAAUUCUUUGACAAUGUGGGAUCAACAUCCACACACAAACACAAAAGUCAGAAUUGGAACAAAAGUCUAAAAUAGAAAAGGACUAAGAAAGAUGUAUCCUAGCAGUUCUAAAUAAGUCUAAGGAAGGAUCCAAAUUUUCUUCACACGUUUUAUUCACUACCUACACCACCUUUUGCAACAUAUAUUAAACUACUGUCUAUGAGUUUCCACUUCAUGUGCAGAGUGUAUCUGAAAGGAUGUCUUCAAUGAAUCAGCAAUGCUUCUAACUUCAGCUAUCAUGGCAACCACAUCAUUUAGUCUGUUAACUGCAGAUCCCACACCCUGCGAUUCAGAAAUGCACCGAACCAAAGUCAAUGAUCUUGCUGGGAGAAGGGUAUAGUAGGUUUAUCAUUAUGAUUUCUAAUUUACUAUUAAAAAUUAAAUUGGGAAGAAUAAAAAUCCCUUACCACACCAGCAGCUCCAGCAGUGAUAGCCAUAGGUGCUGUGACAGCACUUAGCCCAGAUGAACACAUAACAGGUAUCUUAACAGCUCGCGAUAUAGAAUAGGCUGCUGCUAAAGUUGGCGUUGCCUACAAUUUCCAGUGAUUAGAAUUUUGAUAAUUUAAGGAAGAGUUUGUCUCAUGAUAUGAAAUCGUUUCUAUCUAAAGUCUCAACAGAAUCCUGUGUCUAUCAUGUUAAAUAUUUUUCAGACUCUCGACAUGAUUUAUUUAUGAUGUAAUUUCACUUUGAUGUUUUAAACCAUUUUAAUUAUUGCCACAAACAUUGUUGUGUUAAACCUAUACAUUCUCAAAUUCCAGUAAUGAAAAUGUAGGCAAUCAGGAAAAGACAUAUUUUUCUGCUUACCUUCUCAAUCAAACCUAGAACACCAGACUUAGUAGGAUUGGAACAUUUGCCUCCCUCAGUUUGAAUAAUAUCUACACCUUCUAGUUCCAAUGACUCUGCAAGCUUGACCUGUAGUAAAAGUUUCAUAUUUUUUUGUUUAAUUAAACCAUUUUAAUAUUGAUAGUAUCCGCAUAAUUGUGCACUAUGGAAGCAUAAAUGCUGUUUGUAACCUGAUCAGGGAGGCUUAGUGUGUGAGGAACAGUGACAGACAAAACUAUAGAAGGAAGUAUCCUCCUUGUCUCUUUUGUUAGACUCAGAAUCUGCAUAAAAAGAAGGACCAUGGAACCCAAAAAAGAAACAAGUGUAAGCUUUUAUUGAUUUCUGACAAUUGAAUCAGUAACAAAAUGCUAACAUGAUACAUAUAUAAAUUAUUGUCAUUCGAAAUUCAAGAUUGAAUACUCAAAACCAUUAUUUACCUGCUCUGGAGUAAAAACCAUUCCUUUCUCAUAGAAUGAAUCAUAAUUUCCAAUCUCAACCUGCAAACGCAAUAUAAUGUUAAGUAUAGAUCUCAUAUGGUCCAAUGUAAAUGGUAAUGGUUAUUCCAUCUUUGACUGCAGCAUGAACUUAGAACUGAUAUUAGAAAUAGAAAUAGACAAAAAUUCAAACCAUUAGUGCUCCUGCUUCAACUGCAGCUGGAAAAGUUGCAGGAUCUACAGAAGAAACACAAACCUGCAAGAGUGACGAAUUAUAAAAACUUUUGAGGUCCUUUUCUCUUGCUUCAAUUGCUUUGAUAAUGGAAAGAAAGUUAGAUCUUAGACAUCUAGAAAAUUAUAAUCAUAAAAUUAGUUCUUUCACAAUUGAAUAUACAUGCAAAUUGGAAUCAACAUGAAUGUUCAACAUCAACUUUAUAAAUGAUUAUUAUCACAUGACUAUAUUAAACUUAGCAGAUGUCAAGGCAUUUUCCAAAUCCUCUAUGCUUAAUCCAGAAAGCAUAUAUAUAAGAGUUUAAGGACAUUCAUAAGAAAAACAUGAAUAUACCGGACACGAUGUUAGGCUGAUAGCUAGCUUCACCAACUCCGGGUCACAUGCAAUAUCGACGNNNNNNNNNNCCCUACACGCACGAAGAUGACAAUACAUACUCAUUCACAGUCCACAGUUUUAUGUUGGUUUGUAAUGUGAAACAGUUAUAGUAGAAAAAAGAAACCAUAAGAAAGCAUCACUUAGAAUUUGGUCAAAGACUCAUUCGAAAUUCAUGAAGAUUCGAGAGGAUUCACAAACAUAAGAUCCUUCUAAAUGUCAAUAGUCUCUUAAAUCAGUAAUCAACUAUCUCCUAUCAGAAAUCAAAACUUGAUUGAUUUCAAAUAUCACUUGCAAGGAGUAUUUAUAGGUACAAUUAGAGAAAUGAAGACUUACAUCUAGGCAAUUCCUAAUUAAAAUUUACUUCUAGUUAUUUUCAACACCUCUUUCAAAUUUAAAGCACUUGUAGAUUUUUACAUAGAUACUCCAACAACUCUAAAUAAUUUUAAAUAAUUCUAGAUUUAACUAAUGUCAAAUUAUAUAUUAAACUGCAUCUCAUUUUUCAGGGGACAAAAACUACAGUACUAGUCAACAGAGCUCAAAACAGAGAAAAAUAAUGCAGAAAGAGUGAAGUAAAGUACCUUGUCUGCAGCAAUGACAACUGAUGCAACAUUUUCUCUGUCAAAAUUCUGCAAGCCUGAGAUAAUCUUCAAAACAAGCCAAAUAUUUAUCAACAUACACAAUUAAACUUCAAUGAAACAUAGCUAGCUAAAAACACUAUACAUGAAGAUAAGAAAAACAACACUUGGACUAAUGAAAAUCAAUGAAAAGAUAAAUGAGUUUUCAAUGGUUUAGUUUACCUUGAGAGCCAUUUGUUCGCGAAAAUCUUUAAGGACAGACUCUUUGGUUGAUGACAGUAGAGCUUUGGUAGUAAAACAGGUUUUUCUUUUCAAAGGUAGUAGACAUGGCCUUGAAGUUGCAGCAAGUAAAGGGUUGUUAUGGUUUGGGUUUAAAAAAGAGGUAGAAGAAGGAGAAGAAAGUGAUAUGCAUGUUAAGGAAUGCAUGUUUGUGUAGUUAUUAUGGUAAGAAAGGUUGGAUUGAGAAGAAGCAGUGUGUGUUGUGUUGUCUGUCUAUACAAGAGAAGGAAGGAAAAUAACAGAUAAGAUGUGGCAGCUUUGAACUGUCCUGUUCUCAUGUGAUGGAGAUUUUGUUUGUCUUUAAAGUGUUAAUAAUAAGUAUAAAAAUACUUAAUUAAAAAAAAUAUUAUUGUGCGUGUGUCCAUUGUUUAGAUUUAAAAUAGAUUUGAUGGGAGGGUGAGUUUUGAAUAAUUUUUAAUAUUAAUUUACUCUAGAUUACUUGAUAGAGCGAUCCACUCUAGAAUUUGUUGUUAUUAUAAAUUGAGUUCUAAAAGCAAUUUUUCAUUGGGUACAAAUUAAUAUAUGAGAGUCCAAUAUAAAUCUUUCACUAUGAUCAAACAUAUAUAUAUAAAUAUGACAAUACGUCAGAAAAAGUGUAACAUAAGUGUAGAUAUUUGAAUUUUUUAAUUAUUUAAUUAUGGAUUAAAUAAUGUCAAAGACGUCAGUUACUUGGAAAGUUUAUGUGGAGAUGCAUUACAUCAUAUAGAAAUGGAUUAAUCAAUAUAGAAAUAGGUGCUACUCCAUUCGUUUCUAAAUUUUGGUUUUUUUAAUCUGCACACAUAUUAAAAAAUAAUAAAAUUAAGUAAAUUUAGUCUUUUUUAUUCUUUAUUUAUUAAAUAAAUAAAAAUUCAAUGUUUUUGUAUGUUUAAAGAUAAAAAAAAAAUAUCAUUAAUUAUAUCUUAAUUUUUUAUACCAAUCAAAAUUAUAUAACAAAAAUAAGAUACUUAAGAACCAAAAAUUCGAUGAACGUGAAAAUUUUAAUCUUCAAGGGUAAUAUGAGUUUGACAUAAACUUUAAUUCACUUUCCGUGACCAUAUAUACGUUAUCUACAUAUAAUGAAAAUAAUUAUAUCGACUUCAACUUCAUAAUAUUUACUGUAUAAUCGUUUAAUUAAGAUCAGAUAAUUUAAAUUUUUUAUUUAUUUGAGAUUUGAAUUUGUUUAAUAUUAAUCAGACAGUUAUGGUGUGGCUGAUUGUGUGGAUACAUGCUACCAUUGAUUUCACCAAAUUCAAAUUCUUAAAAAUGUAUUUGAGUCUAUUUUUAUUUUAUUUUAUUUGUUGCAAGUGUUCUAUCACUUUACUAUACGCAAUUGAGGAAGGAAGCAUAGUAGCAUAACACCCCUUUACUAUAUCAAUUGUAACAACUAGAAAUACUAAAUCAAAGUUAACUUAAUUGAAAAAAACAAAAGCUAAAAAGCUUGGAUUGAAUUGAGUAGUAGGAAGUUAGAAGAAGGAUUAGUUACAUAGUAAUUAGCAUCAGAAACUGCAACCACAACAAAGGUAAAAAAAACAUAGUGCGAGAACAAGUACAACAGCCUCAAAGGCAGAGACAACCUUAAAAACAACAUUGUCCAAGAACGAAACAGGCAAAGUAAGCCUGUUCCACUUGAAUGAUGAUGACGAUGAUGAUGGCCAUAGAAAUUUCCACCUCAACGAUUCCUUCCGAAGUCUCUUCAAAAACCAUGAUCUCUUCUUGCCAACCAUUGGUUCUGUUCCCUUUAUUCCUCAAUUAAAUUGAAUUAAUCAAUUUGCUUUGUGGAUGGAGUGUUGGGCUUAUAUUGAAGAGAAAAGGAAGCUUCCUCGUUGCCUUUUUGUUUACAUUUCUUAGUACUCACGGUUUUUCAACCGUGUUGGAUGAGAGACAAGAAAUAAUAUUAUAAAUUAAUUAAUAUAGUUUAUAUAUUUAUUAUUUUUGGCAAUUUUUUUUUAUCAUUCUUCUUAAAACUCUAAUAUAAUAAAUAGAUAACCAAUUCUUUUUAUAUAAAUUUUAACAAAUAAAUGCACACCCUCAAAGUCCAAAUUUUUUUUAGAAAAGAAGAAACAAAAAGUGAGACAUAAUAAUUAAAAUUAAAGGAAGUAUACUUAGACAAAAAAAAUUAUAUAUUUUAUCAUACUGCACUAUUUUUUUUUUUACAGAGAAAAUUAAAUAAUUAUCAAUAAAAAUUCACAUAAAAUGUGAUCGGUCUCGAAUUCAAAUUUGAAACGUAAUAUAAAACAUCAUAUCUAACAAUUUGUAGUUAAGGGUGAAUUAAGAUAGUGAAUUAAUAGUUAAGGGUGCUAAAAGGACAAAAUAAAUAAUUUUAUCAAAAGUAACAAAUUCAAUAAUUUAGUAAAGAAAACUAGUAUUUCGGUAAAAAAAAAAAUUGUUGGUAUUUUUGUAAAGUUUUUUUUGUAAGAGAUAUUAAAUACUAACAUAAUUAACUCACAUAAUUAUAAAAUAUUAAAUUCAAACCUAAGACAAAAUAUUAUAUUUAACCAAUUUGUGAAUUAAACUAAGAGAUAAAGACGUGUUUCUGUACAGUUCUAUAUUAUUAAAAAAUUUAAAUACAGUAUACUCUUCAAUCACAAUUAAUUUUCUGAUAUUAUUAUAAACAAGGCUAACUUAUUAAUGAAUUUAAAAAACUUAAAAGAGCUCAAAAAUUAAAUACUACUUUUAUAUGAAAUAUAAACAACAAAAGAAUCUAAAAUAUUGAUGUAUUUAAUAAUAAUUUUUAAGUAAAUACAUCAAUUUAUCUAAUAUAAUUUUUACUAAUAGUUUAUUCCAUGACACAACAAGUACACUUGAUAAUUUUAUUUUAUUUUAUGAAUUAAUGAAUUUUGUUUUUGGAAAAAAAAAAAACAAAAGAGCUCAAAUUUGUGAAUUCAUUUGACACAUUUAAAAAAAUAUAUACUACAUGAAAGAUAUAUAUAUUUUAUUUCACUGAAUAAUCCUUAGCGGUGAAUUUACCGUUACCAUACAUGCAAAUUGAAAAAAAAUACUAACUAGAGAAUGAUGCAAUAAUAUUAAUUAAAUGAUACAAUUGAAAAAAUAAUUAAUAUAAAAUUAAAAUUGGAAGGAAUAAUUAAUUUAUUGAAGACAAUCUUUUUUUAUUAUUCAUUAUGAGACAAAUAAAAUAUAAUUUUAAAAUGACAGUCACUAUCCUUAAAUUAAAUGUUUUAGGAGUUUUUCCUGACUAGAAAUUAUUAUACAAUACUUUUGAAUUAAUUAAAAGAAAUAAAUAUUUAUAUAAUAUUAGUUUUUUUUAAUCUUAAACAAACGAUAAACUGUACACAUGAAUAAGUGAUAAUUGAUUAUGAAUUUUUUUUUAUUUUUGAAUACAACGUUAAAACUCAUAAAUAUAACUUCCCCUAAUCACGGCCAAAGUCAAAUAAAUAAUAACUUUAUUGUUUUAUUUUUUUUUUCUUUUCUUUUCUUUUCUCGUACACAAUUUUGAUGUUUCAAGUUCAAACCUAAUAUUUUGAUCUUUGUUAUUUGUUAGUUGUGUUAGGUCUUACCAAUCAUUCAUUUUAUAUCGAAUUUGAACUCUAAAUUAGCUAAAUUAUAUAUAUUAAAAAAGAAUAUUAAUUACAUGCACAAAAAGGAAACAAAUUAUUGACCAUAUUUAAUCUACAAUCUCAAUAAUUUUUUUUUGCGCCUAAAUUACCCUAAAUGAUUAACACAUUGGAUCAUUAUAAAUAAUAAAAUUUAGAUAAAUGAAUGGCAUUUUAGACAUACUAUUAUAAAAAAGGAGAUAAAUUAUUAGUUUUUAUUUUUUUUUUAAAUACAAAUUAAUUUUGAUUAUAUUUCAUUUUAAAGAAAGUAUAUGAGUCAAGAUCCUUAGAAACCAAACGUCAAACUUAAUAUAGUCACAAUAUAAUAACUUUGUACUUUUUUCUUUAAGUCUUAAUUCAACUGACACUAUCAAUAUUGUUACGUUGAAAGUCUUAUAUUAAUUCGAACUCAAAGUCUCGCACAUGAGUAUUCCCAAAUAAUUCCCAAAUAACUAACACAUUAGACAUGUAAAAAAGAUAUAGUCCAUUGAUUUUAAAAAAUAUGGUCCAAUGAUUUCAAACUAAAACACACGACACACCAUGUAGAACAUUAGUGCAAGAAAAUUUUAAACCAUGUUGAGAGUAUAAUGACCAAAAAGGUGUAAUCACAAUAUAUGAGUCAUUCGAUUAAAAUUGUAUUUUCUAAAUUUUAAAGUAAAGUUUACUUUUUUUCUUUUAUUUAAAAAAUCAAAACUUAAAAUUUAUAUUUUCUUAUCAUAAUCAAAUAACGUCGAUAUUAUGAUUGUGUGACUGCAUCUAUUUCUCGAUCUAUAUGCAAUGCGACAUGGACAUUAUUUUGUAAAAAAGAAAAACAUUACCCUAGUUCAAUUUACAAAGACAUCUUCCACAAUGUCAGUUUGGCAAUGCCAGUAAGAUGGAACUGGUCUCAAGCUCAAGAACAUACAACAAAAUGGGAGGAAGGAAUUGAUUAGAAAAGAAACAAAAAAUUUAGGGGCUAAAAGUAUAAAUAGCAAAAUAGGUGGAGCAAUCGUUCACAAGUCAAUAUAAGCCCCAACACUCCAUCCACAGAGCAAAUUGAUUAAUUCAAUUUAAUUGAGUAAUAAAGGGAACAAAAUUAAUGGUUGGUAAGAAGAUAUUAUGGUUUUUGAAGAGACUUCGGAAGGAAUCGUUGAGGUAAAAAUUUCUAUGGUCAUCAUCAUCAUCAUUCAAGUGUUACUUUGCCGAUUUCAUUAUUGGACGAUGUUGUUUUUAAGGUUGUCUCUGCCUUUGAGGUUGUUGUACUUGUUCUCACACUAUGUUUUUUUUUACCUUUGUUGUGGUUGCAGUUUCUGAUGCUAAGUACUAAUCCUUCUUCUAACUUCCUAUACUACUCAAUGCAAUCCAAGCUUUUUAGCUUUUGUAUUUUUCAAUAAAGUUAAUUCAAAAUUGAUUUUAAGGGGUGUUAUGCUACUAUACCUUGUUUUCACCGGAGUGUUUCUUCCUCAAUUGCGUACAGUACAGUGAUAGAACACUUACAUAAGUAAACAAAUAAAAAAAAUUGGAUCCUUCCUUAAGACUUAUUUAGAACUGCUAGGAUACAUCUUUCUUACUCAUUUUCUAUUUUAGACUUUUGUUCUAAUUCUAACUUUUGUGUUUGUGUGUGGAUGUUGAUCCCACAUUGUCAAAGAAUUGAAAUAAUCAAUUCACUUCAACUAUUGAAGUAAUAAUGGGUGGAGUUGGCUAAUUGAGUGAAAUUUUAAUUUGUUUCACUUCAACUAUUGAACAAUUGAUCUUAAUUCUUGGGUUUCCAAGAGAAAUGGUCCCGAUAAUCUAAAUUCAACAUGAAGGUAAAGAAAGUCUAACUAAAGAUUGUUCUAGCCAGAGUUAGAACUCACACACUCCCGAUCGAUUCAACUGAAGUAGCAUUGAAGAAAAUUAGCAAAACAUUUUUCAAUAAACUUAAUUACAUUUUUCAUUAAGUUAUUAAAAUAUUAACUAGGAAAUAUUAUUGAAUACAAAUAUGUUUAUGAAAUGCAAGGAAUAUCUUCUAUUAAGCAGUGUACUCAACAUAUAAGCCCACAGCUGAAAUUCUAAGCAUCUAAAUGCAUCUAACAAAAUUACUUUACUCAAAAGUCAAAACAUGACACAGAAAAUGAUAAUUAUUCACAAGGACAAACUGAGAGCUGACUACAACUGAAUAUACAACUUCCAAGUAGUUUCAAUUGAUACAGAUGGAGCCUUCUUAGUAAGAAUUAAGAAAUGACAACACGGCUUUACUCAUCAUACUCCGACUCCUCGUCGGUAUCUUCAUAUUCACCAUUUUGCUGCCAAGCAACAGAUAACAGAAUUGUAUAUUUCAUAACUGACCAAAUAAGAGUUAGCUCACUGGCCAUGAAUAUGACAGAUUGGUUACCUUUUUCUUGUUAUACUCUGUUGUUGCUCUAUCAAAUUCUGCACGUUUUUCUGUUGCUAUAUCGUAGUAUUGAACCUUCUCCUGUCAGAUACUGAUGUUAUUAAUAUGAACCUAACCAAAGUGAUUUUUCGUUUUCGCUUGGAUCUAAUUGAACAAAUUACAUGAACCACUCCACUUUGCCAGGUAAUUAAACAGUAAACAAAAUUGAGAAAAACUAGUUUUAUAUUGAUUUGGAAUAUACAGCAGAACGGUCAGCAAUAGCACAAGCAGAAUAAACGCCAAUAAAACAUAAAAAACGAAAAAACAUGUCCCUAAAUCAAUCAGGAAACUGAAGAUCAUGUCAGCGUGGAAUUCCAACCAGCAGAGACAGUUUUGCAUUGCAGUAGCCAAAUUCCAAAUAUGUACAUAACCUAGAAAUUCCAAAAUAGUCAUAACGAAUUCCAAUUGUUUCAAAUUUAACAAAAACUUGUUCUUCACGAGUAUUGUUCAAAACUUUUUCAUCCAUAUUCAAACAAGUCAUGAUCAAUCAAGUUCAAACAUUCUAAACAAUUUUGACAAAAUUACUGGAGCCAAUAUCUGAAUCACUCAGUUUUCAGCCAUCAAACAUCACAACCAUAAUAACAAAAUUCAGGUUAAAUAUGGAAGGAAGAAGUAUGGAGGAAAAUAUACCUCAUAAGUCAUUGUUUUCCACUUCUCUCCACACGCCUUGCCAAUCUGUAUGAACGCAGGAAGGAGGAAAACAGAAGAAGAAUAUUACUUUGCAUGAUGAUGAAGAAAAUAAUAAUAAUAAUAAUGAUGAUGGUUGCACAAUGUUACAAAAACUAUUAAAGAACUCGUAAUUUUUAAAAUUGAUACUUAACUUUUGUGUUGUUUAUACAAUUUAAAAUGAUGAAGUGUGAAACAAUCUUGCUUGAAGAGAAAUGAAAAGUAUAAAAUAAAUUAGAAGAAAUAUUAGUAGGAGAAAUUCUAUACGUACAUCACGCAUUGACUUUACAUCUGGAUUCUGCUGUUGAUAUUCUUUCCGAAAAUCCUCCCUUAAGAAUGAAAAAGAACUUCCAAUGAACACAGUCACUAUGGUAGAUUAAUUAGUACAAUACCAUGUAUAAACAAAGAACAGACGGAGAUAAAAGAAGUUUUACAAAAAGUAGAAGAAAGCAGUGGGGGGUUUCUUUGGCUUCUCAGCAUCAAUCUUUUGUUUGCUCUUAUUUUGAUUUGCUUUGGUUUCCUCUCUUGACUUAGUCUGACGCAACGAUCUCUUCAUUCCCUCAUUUGAUUUAAUCCUCAACACUAGUUUUCUGAAAAACUCAAUGCAACAUUGUUUGUAAAAAAUUCCCCUAGAGGAGUAGACCUAGACACAGUUGAAAUUCACAAUGCCGCCAUGAAAUUAAGUUUGUUUAACCUAAAAUGGCUAAUUAGUUUAAAUUGAGUUAAUUAUAAAAGUUGGAGCCAAUAAAGAGAAAGUGAGAAGAAAUAGGUACCCGGUGGUGGAUGUAGAGGCUGAGGCCGAAGAAGCAGCUAUUUUCGCCAUGUGAUGAGACGUUGCUGCGUUCGACUCUCAACUCUUCAACUCUGAUUUUCUGUUAUCAUUCAUUCUUUCAAGAUUACUCUUUUCUCUUGCAACUCAAUAAUAAUUUUUUUUUUUAUUUUUUUUUCCUAAAAGGAUGUUUAAUUUAUCUAAACAUAAUAAUAUAUUUUUUUUUUAUAAAUUAAUAUUUUUACAUAUUCUUUCCUUAGUUUUAAAAUCUUAAUUCUGUAAUCCUUUAAUUGGUUUUUAUAUAUAUUUUAUAUUUUUGUGAUUUUAAAUUCUGGACAAUAAAAAAAGUUAAAUAGUUGUUAGUGUUUAAAAGACAAUAUUGAAAUUUCUUAUAACAUGAAUUUUAAAAUAAAAUAGUUUUGUACUCACUUUUCUAGAUUUUUCAACGUGGAGUACAACUGUUUUGAUUUUUUGUUUUUUUAUUUUUAUUUUUAUUAAGUUUUUUAAGGUUAUUUUAGAUAUUUCAAUAAAAAAAAAAAAUAAUCGAGGGUACAAGUUUAAUUAGGGGGUACGAAAGCCAAAUGUCUGGAUCAGACUGCGUCAAACCAAAAGUUCACACAACAAAUCAAUUGGAAUUUUUUCUUUAAAAAAAAAUAAAUACUACAAUAAUUAACGUACAUAAUUAGUUAUAAUGUUUCAAAUUCAAAUUAAAAAUAUAAUAUACAAUAUAAUAAUAUCAAUAUUUAUCAAUUAAAUUAUAUUUUAAAAAAAUCAAAUGACAUAUUAUUAAAUACUAAAAAUCUGCAUCCAUAUUUUAUUUUAUUUUAAUGAACAUCCACCAUAAAUAAAAUAGUAUUCUAAUAACACAAUACUCUACGUAAAACAUUACCAUUUUCAGUAUUUCAAAUUUAGUACAUGAUGACGAAGUAUAUUAUUAUUAUCCAUACAUAGUAGCUCGUUAGUAAUAAUUAAGUAAGGGGUUUAACUAGUUUCCAAUGUUAGCACCGGUGUUAAACUUUAGCCUUUCCGAAUGUUUGAGUCCUCCCUAUGAGUUGUUGAAUGCAUUUUUGGUUCCAUUGUUGUUAUGAGUUGUGUAACUACCAUUUUUAAUUUUUGAGACAUUCCCGAAUAAAACCACCCAUCUUAUCUUAUAAUAAUAUAUUAAUAAUCUCACUCGACACUUAUUAGCUUUGCGUUGAUGUUUGUUGCUAACUGAGUGUGGCAUUAUAUAGAUGCAUAAAGAAUCCUUCAACACGAAGCUACCUACUUAAUUUAAUUUUUUCACAUCAUGCAUAUGUCCCUUCUAGAAAGUGAUACCAAUACUAAUCUUGUUUUCUUAUAAGAGUCUAUUUACCGUCUAUUUUGUAAUUAAUUCUAUUAAAACGGAUUUAAGCACGAAUUCCAACGUCUUUUCAAUGUAAUAGUAAUAGGGUUAGAAUUGGAUGCAGUAAUUACCAUAACUUUAUCUAAUCUUAUCGUUAAAUAUACCAAAUUGCGAAUUUCUUACUUGAUCCAACUUUAAUUAUAAGUAAAAAUGUAUAUAUUUAUUGGCCACAAAUAUAAAGUAUAGGUCAAUUCAACAUUAUAGUGGAUUAAUUUUUCGUUUUCUCAUUUACGUACGAUGACUUUUAUGAUAUAUAUAAAAAUUAAUAUAUUUUAAUAUUAUUAAAUUAAAUCAUUAUAAUUAAAUAAUAAGUCAUCUAUAAAUGAGUAAUUUAUUUAACUACUUGAAUCAAAAUCAAAUAAAAAAAUUCUUAAUUUAGUUAAUUUUAAUAAAAAUAUUAUUUGAUGAUGUAAGAGAAAUUUAUCUCUCUUGUUUGAUUUCAUAAUUAAUUUUUUUAAAAUAUUUUGUAUAUUUAUUUAAUUCAAAACAAGUAUUUUUUAUUAGAGUGUCUCUCUGUAUAUAAAAAUAAGUGUUUAAAUAACCCUACCGUUAAAAGAUCAAUCGGAGAAAAAUCAAUUGAAAAAUUUGAAAGAAAUGUAUGUAUGACUUAUGAGUGCAAUUGGAUACCGUCUAAAAAGACCAAUGUUUUAAUGAAAAUUCAAUCAAAUAGCCCUAAAACUUUAGCUUUUCAUCACAUUAAUUUUUUAUACCGUGACACCAACACGUGUUCAUUUGUAUGAUAAAUAAAGAAAACUCAAAUGUUUAUCGAAAUACCUAAAAUUUAAAUAGUUAAAAUUAAACAAAAAAUAUGCUAAAGAAAAUUAUACGUGUCCGCUCAACAAAUAUUCGACACUUUUGUAUAAGUGAAUACAAACAUACAUAAGAAUCUUGUAAAAAACAGUACAUAAAAAUAAGAAAAGGACGAAGAAUCCCCCAGAAAGAAAAAAAAAGGAUGAAGAGGUAUUUUGUCCUGAGGAUAAAUAUUGACAUAUAGCUAUCAGAGAAUUUAAAUCUAUGUCCAUCUCUCUCAAUUAUUUUUAUAUCUUUUAAUUUUAUUUUUUAUUUGAUUGAAAAUUUAUAUUACAUAAAUAAUACAUAUAAUUUUUUAUAUAAAUAUAAAUUAUUUGGUAUGUUAUUAAAAUUUAUAAAGAUUAACAUUGUUUAAUAAAAAUAUAUACAAAAUUAAUUUUAAUAUAUCUUUAAAAUAUAUUAAAUAAUUUUAAAUUGUUAUAAAUGUUUAUAAUUAUAAUAUUUAUGAUAUGAAUUUUUUAUUUAAAAUAAAAAAUAAGUAAAAUAAAAUACAAAUAAAAAUAAUUAAAAGAGAUCGAGAAAAAUUUAAAUGAAGAGAAUCCAAAUUUCCAAUUGGAGUAAACAUGUAACGAUAAGAUUAUAUAAAGUAAUUAACGGCAAUUGCUGCAUCUAAUUCUUUUUAUUUUUACACUAUUAUUAUAUAUAAAAUACGUCUCUUAAUUUUCUUCAAAAAUAAACUAGUCUUAACUUCAAUUUAUGAAAAAUGGAGCUUUUUAGCAAACAAAACAAGAUAUAUUAAGAUAAGACAAUAUAGCUAUACAUGACCAAAUUCAAAUUUAUUAGAUAGUGUUUGGUAGUAUUAGUACAUCAAGUACACCUGAUCACACACAUACUUAAAACACAUUAUUAGUAUUAUUUAUUCAUAAUUAUAUUAUUUGUGAAGCUUCUGAAACAUGUAAAGGUUUUAGUUUCCAAUCUUGGCACCAGUGUUAAACUUAGCUUUUCCGAAUUUCUGAGUUCCUCCCCAUGAGUUGUUGAAUGCCUUUUUGGUUCCAUUGUUGCUAUGAGUUGGGUAACUUCCUUUUUUAAUUUCAGCACCAGUGUUGAAUUCAGCUUCAUCGUAAUCUUGUGUACCCAAUUUGUUGUUAAAUGCAUCAACUGUGCCAUUGUUUCCACCAUAGUUCAAACCCAAUACAUUCCUUAGUAAACCAGCCAUCUUAUUAUCUUAUAUUAAUAAUCUCACUCGACACUUAUAAUGUUGUAUAACUUAUUGUGGCAUUAUAUAGAUGCAUAAAGUUAAAACAGAAUCUUGUGCUACUAUAUAUAAUAUAUUUCCUUCAACAUGAAGCUAGAUACUUAAUUUCCUGAUAGCUACCAUUACCAAUAUCAGUACCAAUUGGGCUAUUAAUUAAGGAUAUAUAUAAUUGCUGCAUCCAAUUCUCUCUCUUUUAUUAUUCCGAUAAAGAUGUUGGAAUUUAUGCUUCAAUCACUUAAUGAAGUUGAUUACAAAUUAAAUUAGGGAUAUUAUUUACUAAUUAAAAAAAUUUCCUCGAGUUUAUAACAACUUUAUAUAAUAAAUAAAAAAUCGAUCUAUUAAUUUGGUCUAAAAUUAGAUCAUAUGACAAAUCAUUUACUUUUUGAAUAUUUUUUUUUAUUGAUAUUUCAUUUCUGAUAAAUAAAUAUCUAAAUUGACCUUCAAUGUUACAAUAUGAAUUCAUGAGGUAUGAUACUUCUUACUUCAAGUAUAGGUAUUUAAGUUACACAUCAACUAAACACGUAGUAAAUAUUGAAUAUAUAAAAAUGAUGAUACAUAUAUCAAUUGUUUUAAGGUUGAGAUAUUAUAUACGAUGUCAAAGUAGUUAUGUCUUAAAAUCAUACCUCAUCAAUUGUCUUAAGAUUUUGGAGUAUCUUAAGUUAUUUGAUAGGAUAAAUCUAUAUUCUUAGAGUAUCUUUUAGGAUUUGGUUUUAUAUUAUUUAUUGCUAAAUUACAUCGUGAUCCCUUAACUUAAUUUCAGUUAACGUUUUAAUCAUUUUAUUUUUCUCGAGUUGGUCCUUUAUUUUAAUUUUAAGUGAGAAUUUGAUAUUUGAUAUUUUAAAAUGUUAACAUUGUUGAUAUUUUAAAACAUAAAAUAUCAAAUUGUCACUUAAAAUUAAAAUAAAUGACCAAAUCGAGAGAAAAAAAAAAAAAGAUAAAGGACUAAAACAUUAACUGAAAUUAAGUUAAGGGGCCACAAAUGUAAUUUAGCCUAUUUACUAGCUAUUAUUAUAAUUUUAGAUUUAUGAUUGACUCUAUAUACUCCUAUAAAUAUGGAUUAAUAUUAAGUCUUUUCUAUUAAGUUAUUAUUUAGUAAUGAUAUUCAAUUGAAAAUCUAGCUUUAUUUUGUUCUUUCUCUUCUUUAUAAUUCUCUAUUUUGUUAACAUGAGUGAAAGAUAAGUGAAAUAACUAAUAUACCUAAUUCUAUAAGAUUUUGCAUCAUAUCCUAGGUAGGCUUUACAAGUUUUUUUUAUGCUAGUCAUCAUGAGUUCAAUUCAAUUUCAAUUUCAAUUUCAAUUUCAAUGUGCGUCAAUUAGAAAAAACCUAGCUUGCCACAAAAAAGAAAAAAAAUCUUCUUAUUCUUAACUCUUCUUCGUAAAUCUAUUAGAGAUGGUUGGGUAAGGCUAGUUUUUGGCCUAAAAUCUCACUUCCAACUCGUUUUACUUAUUUUCCUUUUAAUUAAAUUAAUAUUUUUCACAUAUACUUAAUUUUGUAUGUUUUGGUGUGGUAUUUGUUUGAUUCAAAUUAAUAAAUUAAUUUCGAUCAAAUGUAAAUUUAAUCAAUUACUUUGACAUUGUCGAUAAUACACAGCUCUAGAAGCAUAUAUAUUUCACACACUCCAUUUUUUUUUACAUUCGUAGGCUUUAUCACAAUUGUAAUAAUUUUGUUGUUUUAUGUUAUUAACUUAGAUGUUAUAAGUUUGUUUGCAAAAUCAUUUUUUUUAACUUUAGUGAUUUUGAAUUGUAUUGUUAUUGAUCGAUGUAAUUUAAAUAAAUUAAUAUUGUUUUUAGAAGAAGAAGAAAAAAAUCAAUUUUAAUGUGUGUAAAUAAAAUGAGUUAAGUUUGUUGGUAUUAUAAAAAUGUUACCAAAAUAGUUCUUAUAAAACAUCCCUAAAAAUAAUGUAAAAAUUAUUAAAAUUAUUAAUUUUUUUCGCCAUUAGAGACAGGCAUGAAUAUUUUUUAAAACAAAAAUUUAAAUGAAAGUCUAAUCUCUUCCAUUAGACUUGUUUACCUUAACAUAAAUUGAUUGAGAUUAUUGGUUGCACACCGAUUUUGCAUCCAUUGUUUUGCAGACUUGGAGUUGAGAUAUCCACUGUCAUUUGAGAGCAUUUGGGAGCUCCCCGCUAUGCGUUUUUCUUAACCACAAAUGUAUGUCAUUAUGUUUCAUCCGACUCAACACAUUUAGAAUUUAGAGGUAAAAUGCAAAAAAAUUGUGAGCAUUUUAAAGUCUAUAAUUAACAGUAUUUUAGUAAAAUAAUUAAAUUUCUAUCAAUAUUUAUAAUUGAUUUUAGUGUAAAUUUUUUUAAUAGAUAAUAAAGUCAAUCAAAUAAAUAUUUGUUGAGAUAAUAUUAAUUUUGAUAAAAUUUUAUUAAUUUUUAUUUGAAAAUGAAGCCUUCUAGUGAAGUAAUUUUGUUUAUGAAACAUAAGAAGAUUACCUUGGUAGUUUUAUCUUUGGAUUCGCCCCCCUAUACUAGAUUUAGCAACCAUAAACCAAGAAACUUAGUUUUAAGGUCCAUAUCCAUUACACGUUAAAGGAUCAUUAUAUGUUGUCUAACUUUUAUUUUGUACUUUAAAAGAUAGUUUAAAGCUCUGGUAUUGGUAGUUGAUGGUUUAUGAAAUUUAAGUUUAAUGAAAUUUGAGGAAUUUAGUUAUUUUAUUUAAAUAAUAGUCUCAGUCCUUAUUCAUUCUAUCUAUAAUUAAGAAGAAAAAUAUUAUAUAGAAUUAUAUUCAGUUCUAACUCCUAUUAAAUGUUUUGGAGGAAAAAUUGUUUGUAAAUAUAACAAUUGAUUUAAGAUGUUUUGCAACAGAUUUAGUUAUUUAAUUAAUAAAUUAUCUUUUAUGUCAAAAAACAAAAUAUAUGAGCUAUAUACAUGAAAACUAAUUCAUAAAUUCAAUGAAAUAUAUUUGUAAACAAUCCAAUUAAAUAUAUAUUAAUUAUUGGAUAUAAUUAUCUGUAAAGUACUACAAAUGAGUAAUGAAAGGUUUGGACAAUUUGCAUAUUUAGAAAAUUCGUUUAAAAAACAUUAAACAUUAAAUUAAUGAUACCUAUAUAUAAUAUGUAUCGAUAACCUUUAACAGCAAUGGGCAUUUGGUCUAGUGGUAUGAUUCUCGCUUAGGGUGCGAGAGGUCCCGAGUUCAAUUCUCGGAAUGCCCCAUUUUCUUCAAUUUUAAACUUUUACGAUUAUAAAUUUAAAACUUCAUUAAUUCAUCACGAAAUAUGUAGCAAACUUCAGUUUCUCCCAUAACCUCUAUAAAUCAAACAAAAUGCUACGUUACACUUCCUUUUUAUAUAUAGAACAAAAAAAAACUUAUAUCUUUAUAUAAUUAUAUUUGCUGAACUUCCUUUUUAUAUAUAGAACAAAAAAAAACUUAUAUAUUUAUAUAAUUAUAUUUGCUGAAAGCUUUGCAACACACCAACUUGUGUUAUUUUUCAUAAAUUAAUCUAUAUAUUAUAAUAAAACAAACAUGAUAAUUUGACAAGUUUGGCACGUGUCAGCUAAAUAGAGUAUUAGAAAAAUAUCAAAUUUCUAUUAAUAGAAAUAAUAUUUCAUUGUGCAGAUUUAUUUUUUUUUUUACAAUAAAAUUAAAAUUCCAUUACAUCACGACUCUAUACGCGAUGAUGUUGAGAAGUUAAUGGCCAAUUAAAAAAUAAGAAGAAUGAAUUAAAAAUAAAAUACAAUAUACUACACGACUUGACACCGUUGAGAAUUAAGUGGCCAAUUAAAAUUAAAAAAAAAAAUAGAAUACUUGACAGUUUUUUUUUUUGUGUUGAAGGUAAUUGUUUUUUAAACACUACUUUAUCAAUCAAAAAUUUAUUUUAUUUUACUAAUUCUUGUAGUGUCUCUAAAUUUCCUUCUUAAUUCGCAGUCCUCAGUUAAUCGUCUUUUUCAGUGUUCUCUCAUUUUUUUCCUCAAUAAUCUCUUAUUUUUUGUGUCUCCUUGAUAGAUAUCAUUCAUAUUAUCUCAUUUAUACACAAUUCCCUUUUAAUUUUUUCUAUUCCAAAAAUUCGUUAUUUAAUUUUGUGUUUAUUGUUCUCCGAUGUCUGGAAAAAUAUCAAAUUUUGUUUUCAAUUUCUCCAAAUAAGGAGUCGUGGAAUUUGGUUGUUAGAGUUGUGCUGAUUGUGUGGUUUCUGUCUGAUCAUAAAUUUUAUGCGAUGGAAAUGGUAUUGAGGGAUGACAAGGUUUAAUUUUUAUUUUUAUAAAUUCAAAGUUUUAAAUUAUACAAAAACUUAUUUGUUAUGAUAUUAAUAUAACAAAUUUGUGUUUCAUAUUGUUAGGGUCAUAAAAUUCAAGCAACAAUACAAACUCGAUUUGAGACUACUCUUCGUGAGAGGGUUGUGUACAACUUUCGUUCUCCCGGUGUUGCGUCUAAUUGUUUUUUAAACACUACUUUAGCAACGAUUUUAAAUUAAUUUAAUUAAAAAAUUUAUUUAUUUUUACGUUUAGUGCCAUCAGACUUUCCUUUUUUAUCGCUGUCCUCAGUUAAACAUUCAUAUUAUGUAUUGUAUACACAAUUAGUUUUUUAUUUUUGGCUUAAUUGCACUUUUGGUCCCCCUAUUAUAGGUGAAAAUUGAAAGUAGUCCCCCCAUUUUGUUUCUCCCCAGUUUUAGUCCCCCAAACAGAAUUUGAGUCCAAAUCAUCAUGAGUUGGCAUUUUUUUAAUGACGUGUCAAAAAAAAGCUGACGUGGCAGACGCAUACGUGGAAUAAAAUUAUUAUUAUAUUAUUUCUAAUUAAAAAACAUAAUUUAUAUUUUUAAAAUCAUUAUUAUAAUUGUUAAAAAUAAUUAUUACAAAUAAAAUUUAUUUGUUAUAAUUAAAUUAAAAGAAAAAACACCCAAAAUCCAAAAUCCUUCCCAAAUCAAAAUCAAAAGGAUUCACUCAAGAACCCUAAAACCAUUCUGAAUCCAUCACUGAUUUUUCAUCACUGAUUCGUUCGCAUUCAUCACUGAUUCGUUCGCNNNNNNNNNNNNNNNNNNNNNNNNNNNNNNNNNNNNNNNNNNNNNNNNNNNNNNNNNNNNNNNNNNNNNNNNNNNNNNNNNNNNNNNNNNNNNNNNNNNNNNNNNNNNNNNNNNNNNNNNNNNNNNNNNNNNNNNNNNNNNNNNNNNNNNNNNNNNNNNNNNNNNNNNNNNUCACUGAGUCGCUUUCUGGAUCGUUUGUUCAUCUGUCGUUUUCAUCAGUGAUAAAAUGGCGAGUGGAGGUCAUUUCAAGUUCUCUCCAUCUUCAGAUAGGAAAGAAGAUACAAAGUUUUGUGCUAGGUAUGUUAUUUUAGGGUUUUCGCUUUGUUUUAUUAUUAACAUUAUUAAACUCUGUAUUUGAACUUUGAUUUUAGGGCCAAAAGUUUUUCUCUACACUGUUAACGAAACUCAAUGCCUUUAUGCGUUUUUAAUAAUGUGGUCCAUGUGUUUUUAAUAAUGUGGUCCAUGCCUUUAUGACUGAUUUAUUCAAUGAUUUGUUUUGUGUAGGCCAACUUCAGUCCACAGAGUUAGGUUAAGAAUUAACCAUGGGGGUAGUUUUGUAAACCACCCAGUGAAGAUGUACGUUUGUGCCCAAGUGGAUGAGAUGAAUUGGUCUUGGGAUGUAGACUUAAUGUCUCACAUGCAAAUUACUAAAAUGGUCAAAAGUUUAGGAUAUAUGAGUUUUAAACACUUGUGGUACCAGCAUCCGAAGUACUCAUUUACACGUGGACUUAGACCUCUCAACAAUGACGAGGAUGUAUUAAAGUUUGCUGAAGAUGUCAAAGGGUUCAACGUAAUUGACGUCUUUGUGGAACACUGUAUAGAUAAUCCUGAAACUGAACCAGAUCAACCAAAUCAACCUGAACCUGAAGCUGUUCAACUUGAAUCUGAAGCUGUUCAACCUGAAUCUGAAGCAGUUCAAACUGAAGAAGAUAAAUCAGAAUCUGAACCAGUUCAAACUGAACCAGAUCAACCACAAUCUGAACCUGUUGAACCUGAAUCUGAAGCAGUCCAUGGUGAAGAUUAUCUGAGUGAAGAAGAUGAAGAUUAUGUUGCUAACUCAGAUGAUGACGAUGAUGAUAUGGGUGAGUUAUAUGACGAUGAGGAUUGGGACUGGAUUUCUGAAAUACCAACUGAGAUCUUUGUUAAUGUUGGUGAUGAAAAUUCAUUUGAAAGACAUGAAAACCCAAGAGGAAAUCCAGGGCCUAGUUUUGCAACUGAUUUUGAAGAAAAUGAUGUGAAUUCUGAUGAUUUGGAUACUCCACCAGGAAGUGAAGUUGAUGAAGAGAAUGUUAGGAAAUUUCCUAAAUUUAACCAACCUGAAAAUGGUGAUGAAGUAAGGUUUGAGUUGGGCCUAAAGUUCAAUACAAAAGAGCAGGUUAAGAAUGCUGUUAAAGAUUUUGCAAUGGAGACUAAGAAAAACUUGUAUUUCAAAAAGAAUGAUGGAAAGAGAAUUAUUGUUAGGUGUGAGCCAGAAUGUCCAUUUUACAUGAGGAUCAGUAAGAGGACUUCAAAUGAAUAUUGGCAAUUAGUGAGUUUCACAGAGGAUCAUACAUGUAAUAGGAGGGCAAAAAAUAAACAAGCUAAGACUGAAUGGCUUGCCAAGAAAUUCGUUCCUAUGUUGAGACAUACACCUGAAAUGAAACCCAAUGGAUUGAUUGUUGAGGCGCUUGAUAAAUGGGGUGUGAAGUUGUCUAAAUACCAAGCAUAUAGAGCCAAAGUAAGAGCCAUAGAAAUGAUUCAAGGUGCUCAAAGGGAGCAAUAUGCACAUUUGAGAGAAUAUGCUGAUGAACUUAGGAGAUCAAAUCCAAACUCUACGGUUAUUAUUAAGUGUGGUAUGUCUGACAUUGGACCAGUAUUUGAGAGAAUAUAUGUAUGUUUGGAGGCUUGUAAGGCUGCAUUUGCUAAUACAUGCAGGCCUUUAAUUGGGUUGGAUGCUUGUUUCUUGAAGGGAGAAUAUGGCGGUCAAUUAAUAGCCGCAGUAGGUAAAGAUGGGAAUAAUCAAAUGAUUCCCAUUGCAUAUGCAGUUGUUGAAGCAGAAACAAAAGACUCAUGGCAAUGGUUUCUGGAUCUUUUACUGGAGGACCUCAACAAUGUUCAGCAAAAGCAAUAUGCAUUCAUUUCAGAUCAACAAAAGGUAUGUGUGCUGAAGUCUAUGCUGAAUAAUCUGUUUUUAAGCAAUCUGUUUAAGCAAUCUGUUUUUAAUGAAUUUGUUUGUAAAUAAUAUGUUUCAGGGAUUGGUACCGGCCAUUGCCAACAUUGGGGCCCAUGUGGAACACCGAUUAUGUGUUAAACACUUGUAUGGGAAUUGGAAAAAAAAAAGUAUCCUGGAGGACAUAUGAAAGAGCUUCUUUGGUUGGCAGCAAGAGCUACUGUGGUCCAGGAUUGGGAGAAAGCAAUGCAAAAAAUUAAGGCAAUCAAUGAAGAUGCAUGGAAAGACAUGAUGCAACUUCCACCAUCUAUGUGGACUAGGUCAGCAUUUCGCACUGAUACACAAUGUGACCUUCAAGUAAACAACAUGUGUGAGGCUUUCAACAUGGCUGUAUUGGAGUAUAGAGAUAAGCCUAUCAUAACAUUACUUGAAGGUUUGAAACAUUACAUUACAGUAAGGAUUGUGAAACAAAAAGAACUCAUGCUACGAUAUAGAGGCAAUAUAUGUCCUAGUAUUCAACAAAUAUUGGAAAAGGCAAAAAGAGCAGCUGGGUGUUGGUUCGCAACUUGGCAUGGAGAUGAUGAUUUUAACUUGUUUAGUGUCACAAAUGGUGUAGAUACUUAUACGGUAAAUCUACACACAAAAACUUGUGCUUGUCGUAAGUGGGAUUUGACCGGUAUUCCGUGUUGCCAUGCUCUUGUUUGCAUAUGGCAUAACAAAGCUGAUCCAGAAUCGUACGUUUCACCUUAUUAUAGGUAUAAAACUUGAUUUUAACUGCAUUAUUGGUUCUGCAUUUUGAUGUGCUGCUUGUUCUGCAUUAUUCUGCAUUNNNNNNNNNNNNNNNNNNNNNNNNNNNNNNNNNNNNNNNNNNNNNNNNNNNNNNNNNNNNNNNNNNNNNNNNNNNNNNNNNNNNNNNNNNNNNNNNNNNNNNNNNNNNNNNNNNNNNNNNNNNNNNNNNNNNNNNNNNNNNNNNNNNNNNNNNNNNNNNNNNNNNNNNNNNNNNNNNNNNNNNNNNNNNNNNNNNNNNNNNNNNNNNNNNNNNNNNNNNNNNNNNNNNNNNNNNNNNNNNNNNNNNNNNNNNNNNNNNNNNNNNNNNNNNNNNNNNNNNNNNNNNNNNNNNNNNNNNNNNNNNNNNNNNNNNNNNNNNNNNNNNNNNNNNNNNNNNNNNNNNNNNNNNNNNNNNNNNNNNNNNNNNNNNNNNNNNNNNNNNNNNNNNNNNNNNNNNNNNNNNNNNNNNNNNNNNNNNNNNNNNNNNNNNNNNNNNNNNNNNNNNNNNNNNNNNNNNNNNNNNNNNNNNNNNNNNNNNNNNNNNNNNNNNNNNNNNNNNNNNNNNNNNNNNNNNNNNNNNNNNNNNNNNNNNNNNNNNNNNNNNNNNNNNNNNNNNNNNNNNNNNNNNNNNNNNNNNNNNNNNNNNNNNNNNNNNNNNNNNNNNNNNNNNNNNNNNNNNNNNNNNNNNNNNNNNNNNNNNNNNNNNNNNNNNNNNNNNNNNNNNNNNNNNNNNNNNNNNNNNNNNNNNNNNNNNNNNNNNNNNNNNNNNNNNNUGUGCUGGUUCUGCUGGUUUUGUUGUGGUUUAGUUUUUUUGACAUGUUUUUGGUUCUUUAAAUAGGAAAACAAACUUCUUGACAUGUUACUCUUACAUUAUAAUGCCAUCAAAUGGACCAAAACUUUGGCAUGCAUCAAAUGGAGAUCCUAUAAAUCCCCCAAUCAUGAGAAGAGCACCGGGUAGACCAAAGAAAAAAAGGAACAAGUCCAAUGACGAGUCAAAAGGUUCUAACAAACUACCAAGACAGUUUGCAACUGUGAAAUGUAAGAACUGUGGGAAGCUUGACCACAACACGAGGACAUGCAAGGGUAAAAGUGCAGCAGAUAGAGAGAUACCAAAAGGUGGAAAUAACAUCAACAGAACAAAGAGAGCAAAGACAACAAGGGUUGGAGGUGAUGAGGGAGAAACACCAACAAUUUUAUCUCAAGAUUCACAAGCUCCACAAAUUCAAGAUUCACAAAUCAAUUGAAGACACGAAACUUGUGAUUUUUAUUUUGGUUAUUAUGAAUAUGUAAUCAUACUUGGACCUAUAUAAUUUGGUGACUAUGAAUAUGUACUUUUAUUUUGGUUACUUGUGAAGGAACAAUUUUAUUUUGUAAUGCAUUAGUAUGACCUUUUGUUGGACUUAAGUUAUGGAACGAUUAUUUUGUAAUGCAGUAGUAUGUAAUGAUGGAAUGAUAUCAAAAUUCUAACUUCAGAUUAUGGACCAGAUUAUUCUGAAAAAUUGUUUUGAUUAUUGUCAUUAUUCUGAUUAUCAAAUUUAGGUUCAAAAAUUGGAAUAUUGUUCUGAUUAUUUUGACCAGAUUAUUCUGAUUAUCAAAUUUAGGUUCAAAAAUUGGAAUAUUGUUCUGAUUAUUUUGACCAGAUUAUUCUGAUUAUUUCAAACAACUGCAAAAUUGUUUUACCAAAUUUUAUUUAUACAAUGAUAUCAAAUUGAGUUAUUAACAUGUAAAAAUAGACAAUCAAAUUACAAUAAUACUAAUUUCAUUUGAUUAUAUUAAACAAUUACAUUACAUUACAAUUUCAACCAUAAACACCCUAAAUUACAUCAUUACAAAACACCCUUAAUCCAAUCAUUUUAAUUACUUCAACAUUACAAUAACCAAAAGAACAAUAAUCAAAAGCCAGGAAAGUGUCAGAAAGCCUUUCAUUCGUUUCAACUUCAACUUCAUUUCAUCAUCACAAUUUUUUGUCACAUUAUCUUUCUUCUUGAAUUCAUCAAUCCUUUUCAUCAAAGACAUAAUAACUUCUUUUGCACGUUCUGUCAUUGGCUCAUCAAACCAAUCAAAAAAAUUGCAAGAUUUUUUACCCUGUAACUAAACAUAACAACAACUUAUAGUUUUAUUUUAAAUGUUGAAAUCACUUUCACAUUUGAAAUCAUGGCUACCAGGUUGGAGGUUUGUGAGAUAUUUCUAAAAUAUUGGUAAUAUAUGUAUCUAUAAGUUGUUAUACAUGACAUGAUAUUUCCAAAAUAUUCAAUGUUCAGAUGGAGGACACGUUCACUUGCUGAAGGCUUUGCAACACACCAACUUGCUCCAUUAGCAUUCCCUCCUGCACAAGUAAAAUUAUCCAAAAUCAAAACAAAUUAGAAGGUAUCUAAAGUAAUAAAAUGAAAUUUAAAUAAUAACUACCUGCAUUGAGAAGGAGAAAGAAAAAAACCAGAAGGGAAAUAGAGGAUUUGGUCAUGGUGAAAAUUUAGAGAAAAUGAUGAUUGUAGUGUGUAUUGUGUAGUGUUUGGAAACAAAGAAAUCUGAUUAAUGAUGGAGGUUCCCAUGCUACGCAUUUUAUAAACAGAAUUUUGUUGUUUGAUUAAUGAUUAUUAAUUACUGACAUCCACACACCCAUCCUCCAACCAACUUCAUCUAGAACUCUUCAUCUAGAAUGUCAUUUACGGGUCCAACUUUCAUUGCGUAAAAAUGAAUUUAUUAAAUACUAAAAUUUUAAUUUGUAACACUUAAUCAUAAGUCGCAUCACCAAAAAACAUAAAAUUUAAGUUGAAGGUUGCAUCCGGAGGACAAGACUUGUAAUUAAGUAUAAAAGCAAGUAUUAAUGGUUAAUCUUAAAAAUUAAGUGUUUGAUAAUUUUUUUUUGAAAUAACCUACAUGUUAGAUUUAUAUAUAAAAAAAAGGGCUUACUUGGGUCAGUAAGAACAAUGAGAGCAAAGUGAGAGAAGUUGUAGUCUCAAGGGUUUCUUCCAUUGUUUGCAUAGUACUGAUUCAUAACAAAAGAGGCAUGGUUCAAUGGUGUGUUGGGGGUAGAAACAUGAUCCACUUGCUUGAAUCAUCUUGCAAUCACCCAAUCAAUAUAUUGCAAGCAUAUUCAAUGUUCAGAUUCAGUUCAAUGUUCAGAUUCUUGCAAUUAACCGACACGCACGCACGGGUUACACACUAGUUAAUUUUAUUCAACACAAUAUAAUGUUAAAGAAUUUAAUAUUUUAUCAUUCUAUUAGCAAACUUCAAAUUCCAUCCUGCACAAGUAAAUAAAUCCAAAAUCAAUCAAAUCUUAACAAAUUAGAAUUUAAAAGGGUAAGUUUUUGCAAUUUAAAGCAUUAAUGAAAAUUUGUUUAUUUGAUGAAAUAGUUUCCACCAUUGAAAAUUAGAUUAAAACAAAUCAUUUGCACAUAGUAUCUAUAUAAGUAAAUUUUUAAUUGAAAUUAUGAACAAUGUAUAUAAAGAGAGAUUGGAAGUAUGAUUGAAUUAAUAUCCUGCCAUUCUAAGAAUAAAACUAAUUUUAGUAAAUUGAUUUGACUCAUUUUAAAAUGAUUUCUUCUAAUGUUAAUUUGUCUAGUUGCAUAUAAUAAAAAUUAUUUAUUUAUUAAUAUUUAUUUGUAAAGUAAUUAAUUAUUUAUAUAGUUUUUAAAUUGCCAAUAAUACACCCCAAAAAUCAAAUUAUUAAAAACAUUUAAUGUUUACUGUAAUUACUUCUAAAUCAUAUACACGAUCGAUUCAUAUGUGUUGGAUGUGUAAAUUGUUUUACAUUUAAAGUGUUUGAAAGUUCAUUUUUUUAUAUUUGAUUGUGCCUCCUCAAAUACACGGUUUAAUUAUAGAUGCUAUGUAUGAAUAUCGGUUACCAUCAAUGGGAAUUUCGUCUAGUUGUAUGGUUCUCGCUCUUUGUGCGAGAGGUUCCGAGUUCAAUUCUCAGAAUGCCCCAUUUUCUAUAUAUGUAGCAAACUUCAGUUCUUCUACCAUGUCAUUCUCACUAAGCAUAGUUGCAGCUCCCAUAACCUGUAUAAAUCAAACAAAACAAAUUCAACUAUUUCAAAAUCCCAUCUAACACAAAAAUAAUCCAUUUACAAAAACUUACAUUAAGUUAAACACAUGCUAUGCUACACUUCCUUUUUAUAUAUAGAACAAAAAAAAAUCUUCUAUCCUUAUAUAAUUAUAUUUUAUAUCUUCUAGUGUUUUUUUUUUAAAUAACUCAAAUACUCAAUUUUUAUUGCGUAAAAAUGAAUUUAUUAAACACAACUUUUAAUUUUUAACACUUAAUAAUACGUCGCAUCACCAAAAAACAUAAAAUUUAAGUUAAAUGUUGCAUCCGAAGGACAAGACUUAUAAUUAAGAAUAAACUUUGAAAUUUUCGAAAUAUUAACUUUCUAAAUUUCGAAAGUUUUCAUGAACAUGAAACUUUCGAAGUUAUUUUUUCCCAAAAUUUUAAAACUUUCGAAAGUUUGCAUGAACAUGAAACUUUCGAAAUGUAGAAAACCUUCGGAACUUUCUAACAAUCUGAAAGUUUCGAAAUAUAAAAUUUAGAAACAUAAAGUUUUUCAAUUUCGAAACUUUGGUAUUCAUGGAAAAGUUCCAAAAUGCAGUUUUAUUAGUAAUAAAUUAAUAAUAAUAAAUAGUAAUAAAUUUAUAAUAAUAAACUUAUAGUAAUAAAUAGUAAUAUAUUUAUAGUAAUAAAUUAAUAGUAUUAAAUUUGAUAUCUAAUAUGGGAAGUUUUAAAUUCAUCAAAAUUUUCGAAAGUUUCAAAUGAUCUGGAAAAUAGUAUUUCGAAACUUUCAAAUUUUCUAAAAAUUAAUUGAAAAUUUCGAAAGUUUGGAAUUUUUUGAAACUUUCGAAAUUGACUUACUUCGAAUGUUUGAAAUUUUGGAAAGAUAUGUGUUUCGAAAGUUUCACAUUUAUCCAAACUUUCGAAAUUUUCUGGAAAUUUUUAUUUCGGAACUUUCAUAUUCAACGAAAGUUCCGAAUGAUAUGUGUUUCGGAAGUUACAAAUUCUUCCAAACUUUCGAAACUUUCUGGAAAUGUUAACUUCAGAACUUUCAUAUUCAUCGAAAGUUUCAAAAUUGGUAAUUAUUUCUGUAAAAUUAUAUUUCGAAUGUUUCUAAUUUAACAAAAGUUCUGAAUAGAUAAUAAAACUCACUUUAAUUAUUUCAAAAGUUUGAAACUUUCGAAUAUUAAGAAAUUUUUUGUAAGUUUCGAAAGUGGAGGUGAGAAAAGAGAGUGAUAAAAUAAAAGGGUAAAAUGGUCAUUAGAAAAAAAAUUAGAGGGUGGGAGGUAAAAAUGGAGAAGUGUACGGUACAAUUCUCUAAAUUCACGUUGAGGAGACAAAUGGCCCAAUGAUAGCAAAUGGAUUUUGAAUUAGACUCUGAUACUAUUUUAAAAUUUGAAUUAAGCUUUACACAAGUCAACAAAAUCGAUUUGUAUAGUAAAAACUAUUCACUAUUUAUAUACAUUUUGGUAUGUCUUAUCUCAUCUAAUGACUUUUAACAAUAUGGGCCAAGACCAUUGUUCCCUUCACCCAAACUUACGUUGAAGAUGCAUAAAAUGUUCUCAAAUUUUAAUCCCUUCCACCUAUGUUUGUUUUUAAAUACACAUUCAGAUUAAUUAAUUUGAAUGUGUAAAGACACUUUUAAAUUAGUCAAUUCAAACAAAAAUUUGAGACUUUGGAGAAAAUAUAAGAGUUGAGAAAAGAAAUUCCCAUCUUUUUAUAGGGUGGGCCUUAUUUGAAAAGUGACUCAUCCAACAUAUUAUAUAAGACAGAGGAAGUAGAUGGAGGGUAUGGUGGUAUAAGUUUUUUUUUUUUUUUUUGACAUAUUAAGAUUUUUUUGUUUAGUAAAAAUUAACCGAUGACAAAUAGAUUAAUUAGUAAUGAAUGAAGUUAGUAAUGAAUGAAGUUAUAAGGAUAAACUAGCUAAUAACAAACAACAAAAAGUUAACUAGGGUAUUGGAUUUAAAGUGUUUGAUAAAAUUAUUAACUAAAUUAACUAAUAAAUAUAAAAUGACUUAAAAUUUUAAUUAAUAUUUAUAUAUUUUUAAUUAAGAUAAUAAAAAUAAAAAUAAAAAUAAAAUAUUGUAUAUUAUAAGUUGAAACACUAUUUGAAGUACUGUGUAUCUACUUGAUAAGAUCAAACCACUAGUUAUAUAGAGAAUAUCAUAUAGUGUAUAAUUAAGGUCGAAUAAUCAAAAUAAUUAAAUUUGUUUCACUUUUAUUUUUUUACGAGUUUAUAGUGUGUUUUUUUUUUGUUUAGAUGUUACUUCAAGUACGCUUAGUUUAUAACAUAUAUCAUUUGCACUAAUUUUGACCUUGAUUGUCUUAGUUAAAAAAGUUUAUAUAUAAAUAUUUAUUAUUUAAUUAUGUACAUACAAAUAUAUGAAUUAUUAAAAAUUUGUAUGCUUACAUUUAUGCAAUUACCUCUCAGUUCACUCAAACAAUUCAAUAAAUAAAAAAAUACAAAUAUUAAACGUUUUUAUACAUAUCAGGGGACAGUUCACGAGUAUCUCUUUCUCCCUUGGUUUAGUUCUUGAUGCUAAAGUAAAAAAAUACAUAUACAAAAAAUAUCACCUAUAUGUCACAUUACAUUAACCUUAUUUGUAUUUGUAUCUGAUAUUUGUAUUCACACACUCAUUUAAAUGGUAGACUAGCUAGAGAUAACUCAAUUCCAAUCUACAAAUAUUAUUGUCAUGUUUAAUUUGAAAUUUGUAAUGAUUUCCCUCAAAAACAUUAAUGAUAGAAGAAAGUAUAUAUAUGAACAAUUACUAAUACAAUGUUUUGGAACUGUCUCACGAAUUGCUAUAUUAAUUCUUAUGCCACCAUUUUCAUGUCUAAUAAUUUAUAGAUAUGAAUUUAUAAGACAGUUUGUGUCAAUAAUUUAUAGACAUGAAUUUAUAUAUAAUCAUAGUAAAAGUAAAAUAUCUUUAAUAAUCUAAUAAUUGUGAUUGGUUAUCAAUGUAAUUUUUUUGUUAAACUAAUAUAUAGGAAUUAAAUCCUAUUUUCUUUUAAUUAAUCAUUGAAACUUCAUAGAAUUGUCAUUGGAACCAACCGUGUCCUUGUUGAGAUCUAUAUACAUUGGUCCAAGGUUAAGCCACCAAAGCUAGAACUUUAUGCCUUAAAAAUGUUUAGUUUCCAAAAUUGUUUAUAAUAUUAUUAAUUAUGUUAUAAAUUUAUUUGUUAUUAUUAUUAAGAGUAUCGAAUUGGAUAAGAUAAGACCUAUCAAAAUAUACAUAAGUGGUAGGUAUUCUUCAACCUACAAGUCGAUUUUGUGGGGUUGUGUAGGGUUUAACCUAAAUUAUAAGAUGAUACCAAAGACUAUCCAAGAUCUAUUAAGCCACCUCUAUCAAGUCACUUUUGUAGUUACUCGAAUCUUUUAUUGAAUGAGAUAAAACCGAUGAAAGUGUAUAUUAAUAAUGGGUAAUUCUCAUUCUACAAACUUAAGACCCAAUCCAAAUUUUAAUAUAUUAGUUUAGUUGGUAAAAUGUAAGAUAUUAAGUUUAUACUAUACAAUUAUUUUAUGUUUUUUUACAAUUUAAUAGUCAGCUUUUGCUUUUAAGUAUCUAAACUUGUUGGACCGACCCUACCUGUAGAUACUCUGGCUGUGGACUUCAGAGGUCACAAAUUAAAAAUCCAAUUUCGAAAUCUAAGCUUGAAAUGGAAACGAAUUCAUCAUGGAGAAAGUUUGUUACAUUGUGCCACUUGCAUGAGAAUGAGCAUGGCAUUAAUUUAUUACCACUUGCCCACUUGUCUUGUUUUUUUUGGCAAAUAUGUGCCAUCUUUCCUCAAACCGCGUUCGGUCUUUUUGCCAAUACCAUCCAAAUUUCAUUUCACAUGCUCACACUAUUAUGCAUUCCUUCAUUUGUUCAUCAUUACACACGCAUAAUUAAAUUUCUAUAUUUUUAGAUUCUUAAUUGCUAAUGCUAAAUUAGCUUUUGCAGCUAAGCACUUCAAAAAAUCAAUAUUCGUCGACUCGACUCAAGUAAUUAGUAGAAAUUCAUACAAAAAUCAUUGCGUCCCUGCUCACGGGAUUGCUUUUAUAAUCCACACCAAUUGCAUCACUAGUCAAACAUUUUUAUCGAUUAAACAAACCAUCCACAAUAUUAAUUUAUAUUUUUUUAGUAUAUUCUUAAAUUUCUAAUACCGAUUCUUUCUACUAAUAAAGACUAUACAAAGUCAACAGUCGUCUAGACAAAUUCAUUGCAUUCAUAUGACUAGUAUAGCAAGACUUCUAGAUAAUUAUGAAAUUACUUCGAAUGAGUUUGUAGAAAAUUGUAUUUUUAUUAUUGACAACUUGGCAACAUGAGAAAAGAAGGAUGAAUAAGAAAUUAAACGACAAAAUUAAACUUUCAAACAAUUAUCAAUUCAAAGAAAAACUCAUUUCAGUUUUAAAUAUAAAAAGUAUAUAUUAUUUUUUUACAUUUAAGGUCGAAAAAUAUAUUAAUUUGACAAAUACCAAAAUCAUAAAGUGGUUUAUGCUAUUGGUUCUUCCCCUCUAUUUCAAAGUCAAAAAUAUUUUUGGCGCAUCUUAUGUAGCGUCUCAUUCAGUAGAAGAUGCACCAAAGCAACCACCUCAAAUACUCAACUUAAGUCAAAUUAAUUUAAUGUGCAUCUAAUGAUUUAUCUAGUUUAGUGUGAACACCCUCUAAGAAUAAUAAAAUAGUGGAUAAAUGAACAUGAUAUCUAUAAAGGCUUCAGUUACUACAACUUUAAUGUUAUGUCAUCAAACUUAUUCAAGUUAAGUUCAAAGUUAUGUUAUCUCUAAAUCUAAACUUUUGGUUGACUAUAGUCAUAGUCAUUUCAAUUGUUACAAAUGCUGAAAAAACAACCUUUGAAAUUGAAAUUGAAGCACUGAAUGCUUUCAAAAAUUCCAUAACAAAUGACCCAAAUGGAAUAUUUUCUGAUUGGGUUGAAACUCACCCUCAUUGUAACUGGACUGGAAUUUCAUGUGACAAAUCUUCAAAACAUGUCACAUCAAUUUCUCUUGUUGCUCUUCAAAUCCAAGGUGAGAUUUCACCAUUCCUUGGAAACAUUUCAAACCUUCAAGUUCUUGAUUUAACUACAAACUCAUUUUUUGGUCAUGUACCUCCUCAGAUUAGUCUUUGCACUCAACUCACACAACUUUUACUUGUUGAGAAUUCUUUAUCAGGUUCAAUCCCUCAUGAAUUAGGAAACCUACAAAAUUUGCAGUAUUUGGAUUUAGGUAGUAACUCUUUUAAUGGAACACUUCCUAGUAGCAUAUUCAACAUCACUUCUUUGUUAGGUAUUGCUUUCAAUUUCAACAAACUUAGUGGAAAAAUUCCAUCAAACAUAGGGAAUCUAAUUAACACUAUACAAAUUGUAGGGUUUGGGAAUAGUUUUGUUGGUUCUUUACCUGUUUCUAUAGGUCAGUUAGAAGCUUUGGAAUCUUUUGAUUUUAGUCAAAAUCAAUUAUCUGGUGUUAUACCUAAAGAGAUUGGAAACCUAACCAAUUUAGUAUACCUUUUAUUGCUUCAAUAUUNNNNNNNNNNAUUGUAGCAAACUUGUUUACCUUGAGUUAUAUGAAAAUCAGUUCAUUGGAAGUAUUCCUCAUGAGCUAGGAAAUUUAGUUCAAUUGGAAACAUUGAGGUUAUAUGGAAAUAAUUUGAAUUCAACUAUACCAUCUUCCAUAUUUAAGUUGAAAUCAUUAACACAUUUAGGGUUAUCAGAUAAUAACUUAGAGGGAACAAUAUCUUCUGAGGUUGGAUCUUUGAAAUCUUUAAAAGCAUUAACCUUGCAUUUAAAUAAGUUUACCGGAACAAUUCCUUCGUCGAUAACAAAUUUGAUAAACUUGACAACUUUGUCCAUGAGUCAGAAUCUACUUUCAGGUGAAAUUCCUUCAAACUUAGGUGUGCUUCAUAAUUUGAAGUUUCUUGUGUUGAACAACAAUUUUUUACAUGGACCUGUUCCUCCUAGUAUUACCAAUUGUACUAGUUUGGUAAAUGUGAGUUUGUCUUUUAAUUCUUUAACUGGGAAGAUUCCUGAGGGUUUUUCAAGGCUGCCUAAUUUUACUUUUCUGUCCCUUGCAUCUAACAAAAUGAGUGGUGAAAUCCCUGAUGACCUCUUCAACUGCUCAAAUCUCAGUACUCUAAGUUUGGGGGAUAAUAACUUCAGUGGAUUGGUAAAAUCUGGUAUCAAGAAUCUGUUGAAUCUCAUGCGUUUGCAGCUGAAUGCGAACGCAUUUGUAGGGCCGAUUCCACCAGAGAUUGGAAACUUGAAUAAACUCAUCACUUUGUCCCUUUCUGAAAAUAGAUUUUCAGGUCAUAUUCCGGUAGAAUUGUCCAAACUUUCUCUCCUUCAGGGACUCUCUCUACAUGACAAUGUAUUAGAAGGUACAAUACCUGAUAAACUUUUGGAACUAAAACAACUGACUUUACUUUUGCUGCAAGAAAACAAGUUGGUUGGCCAAAUACCAGAUUCACUCUCAAAUCUUGAGAUGCUUUCGUACUUGGAUCUUCAUGGAAACAAACUUAAUGGAUCCAUUCCAACAAGCAUGGGGAAGCUCAACCGUCUUUUAAUGUUGGAUCUCUCUCACAACCACCUCACAGGAUCGAUUCCAGGAGAUGUCGUUGCACGCUUCAAAGAUAUGCAAAUGUAUCUUAACCUUUCUUACAACCAUUUUGUUGGAAGUGUUCCAGCUGAGCUGGGGAUGUUGGAAAUGGCACAAGCCAUUGAUGUUUCAAACAAUAAUCUGUCAGGUUUGCUUCCCAUGACACUUGUCGGGUGCAGAAAUAUGUUCAGUCUUGAUUUCUCAGGAAACAAUAUUGCAGGNNNNNNNNNNNNNNNNNNNNNNNNNNNNNNNNNNNNNNNNNNNNNNNNNNNNNNNNNNNNNNNNNNNNNNNNCUGAAGUUUUUAGCGGCAUGGACUUGCUUCAAAGCUUAAAUCUUUCAAGAAAUCAUUUAGAAGGUGAAAUCCCUACAAGCUUGUCACAGCUUAAAAAUCUUAGUUCCUUAGAUCUUUCUCAGAAUAACUUGAAGGGAACUAUUCCUGAGGGCUUUGCCAAUCUUUCCAACCUGAUGCAGUUCAACUUUUCUUUCAAUCAACUUGAAGGUACUGUACCUUUGACUGGAAUAUUUGCCCAUAUGAAUGCAUCUAGUAUGAUUGGAAACCAAGCUCUUUGUGGAACGAAAUUCCUAAAACCGUGCAGAGACAAUGAUCAUUCUCUAUCCAAGAAAGCCAUAGUUAUCAUUGCUUCACUUGGAUCUCUUGCUAUCCUUCUACUUGUAGUGCUUCUGAUUUUAUUCUUCAAGCGAGGCACCAAAUUUGGCAAAUCUAUAAAGAGAAAGGAUACUGAGAAUCAUGAACCAGAUUACGAUGCAGCAUUGGCUCUUAAAAGAUUCAGUCCAAAGGAGUUAGAAAAUGCCACCGGUUGUUUCAGCUCGGACUACAUCAUUGGUGCUAGCAGUUUGAGCACCGUUUACAAGGGCCAAUUCGAAGACGGUCAGAUUGUAGCCAUAAAAAGAUUGAAUUUGCACCAGUUCUCUGCAAAUACUGACAAGAUCUUCAAGAGAGAAGCCGGAACCUUGAGUCAGCUGAGACAUAGGAAUUUGGUUAAGAUACUUGGAUAUGCCUGGGAAAGUGGGAAAACAAAGGCUUUAGUUCUAGAGUACAUGGAGAAUGGGAAUUUGGAUAGCAUCAUACAUGACAAAGAGGGAGAUCAGUCUAGGUGGACAUUAUCCGAAAGACUCGGGGUUUUCGUUUCUAUUGCCAGUGGAUUGGAUUACUUGCACUCUGGUUAUGAUUUUCCCAUUGUUCACUGUGAUCUAAAGCCUUCUAACAUCCUUUUAGAUAGAGAUUGGGAAGCUCAUGUCAGCGAUUUUGGGACGGCUCGAAUACUUGGUCUUCAUCUGCAGGAUGGUAGUGCCCUUUCCACAUCAACAGCUUUGCAAGGCACAAUUGGCUAUUUUGCACCAGGUAUAAGCCUUUUAUAAUCUUUUACGGUCAAUGCAUUAUUUAUGUGUGAUAUGUUUUUAUCAUAUUUAUGUUCAUAGAUGAGUUGCAAUCUAAAUGAAUAAUUUAGUUCUUUUCAAAUUUGUAUAGUUAGUAUAUUUUCUGCACAUUAGACUGUUCUAAUUAGCAAAAAUAGCACUAAAAGUUCAAGAGUUGAAUGCGUUUUAUUUCGUUCCUAAGUUUUGUGACCUAAAGAUUUUCUUAUAUUUUUCACUGUCUGAACAAUAUUUUUCUGUCAUUUCCAGAAACUGCCUACCUAAGGAAAGUAACAACUAAAGUGGAUGUGUUCAGCUUCGGUAUCAUAGUGAUGGAAUUUCUAACAAAAAUAAGACCAACAGGGCUCGCAGAAGAGGUCGGCUUGCCAACCAGUUUGCGCGAUAUAGUGGCGCAAGCCCUUGCAAAUGGAAUGGAUCAAGCUAUCAACAUUGUGGACCCUGAGUUGAUCACAAAAGACAAUCCAGAAGUGUUGGAAGAGCUCUUUAAGCUAUCAUUGUGCUGCACUCUACCUGAUCCUGAACGUCGACCAAAUAUGAAUGAAGUUUUAUCUGCACUUGUGAAGCUUAAGACAGCAAAAUAGUAUUACUGUCUUUUUAAAUGAUAAACAACAUUGAUAUUAAUUAAUUAUUGGUGCUGGUUUUUCAAAAGAAGAGAAAAUCAUUGCUUUCCAAUUGUUUCAUCACUAGUUUCUUUAACAAUGACAAAGCCUUCUGGUUUCCAUGUUAGUCUACCAGUUAUGAUGAAAUGUUUGUAUGCAACAAAUUAGCAGAAGACUUUGAGUCUGCAAUAUCAUGUGGAACUUUUGUAAUAUGAUUAGUAUUGCUUCACAACCAUGUAUUAAUACUCCCAACUUUUUAAGUCUGCAUUGACUAUCUCUUGUUGCAUAAUCUAUAUUUUUCACUCCCUCUCUCCAUUCGUCAAUUAAAUGCAGAUAUAUCUAUAUAUACAUUUGAGUUUGCUCUGUCGUAUAGUUAGAGAAAGAUGUCAGUUUGGAAUUAAAACUGACAUCAGAAACAACUUAUAUAUAAGCACUUAAUUAAGUUGUUAUCCAAAUACACUUUAUCCUUUUAGAAUGAAUAGAUCUCAACUCAAUGAAUAGUCAUCACAGUAACCAAAGUUCCAAUUCCAGAAUUAUAUAAAAUGGACAGAUUACAAAUUGAUUGCAUUUGCAUACAAAAAGAAGCUACAAAGAAGAAUAUCAUAAAAUAAUGCUUCAAUUACUAGGAGGAUCAUUAUGAAGAAAUUCUUGAAUAGUUGAAGGGAACACCAAGCCUCCAAAACCAGAAUCAGCACUCUCAGAAACAAAAACAGCUUUCCCUAAAAGCAAGUGUGCCAAUCUCAAAGGCUCUUUCUUCUCCACACGAAUAACACCAUCACCAUCACCAUUUAGAAAAUGCUGAAUCCACCCAUUUAACCUCAACACCUCCUUUUUACACUUUGGCCCUUCUACACCAACAAUCUUUGAAUAAAACCCACCUUCACAGUGACAAGAAUCACAAUCUUCAUCACCCUCAAAAUCAAAACCAUCCCUUUGUUCCUCUGACAUUCCUAAAAGCUUCAUUAACCACUCAAUUUCAUCAACAUCUUGAGCUUCAUUUGAAGGAGUAGUUUGAGCAGGAUAUUGUUGAUGGGUGAGUGAGAACCCUUGAGAAAUUGAGACGAAUUGUUGAGGUGGUUCACUGCUUUCUUGGGUGGGACAUGUUUGGCUGCAAAUUUGUUGGAGGAACAAGGGUGAACCCAAACUUGAUGAAAAAUUGCUGCUUUCUUCUACUUGUGAUGAUUCCGUUGUUUUUGUUGAUGUGCUCUCUAAUUUUAACCUUUUUUCAACCUGAGUACCAAAUUAAUCCAUUCGUUAAAACAUUGACAAGAAUAACAUUUCAUGAUGUUAAAAUUGAAAUUGUGAUUUCUUCAUACCUGUUUUAACGACGAGAAGAAUUUGGAAUGUGAAGAAGACAUUGAUAAUGGUCCGAGUUUUGUUUUUCCUUUGGUUGUUAUGUAUCAUAAAUAUAUAGUAGUGUACUGCAUUAGAAUAUAUUAGAGUAUUAUGGUAUUUAUUUAUUUACUUAUUUAUUUAUUUAUUACAUCCACUACUUUUGAGUGUUCUUAGUUGAAGUUAUUUCAAUUUUAGCGUUUUGAAUUGUAUUAUUAUAUAUUGAUUUGAAUGAAUUAUUUAAAUGAGUGGUUGGCAUAUAGAUUAAGUGAUUGGAAAAACAAAUUGAUAGAUGAAUAAUGUAAAAAACAAGUGAUUAACAUUAAGUUGCAUAGACAUAUGAUAGAUAAUUCACAAUCUAAGGGGAAGUACAUUACAAGAACGUAAACUUCACCAAAAACACAUAAUGAAACCGAAUUAAGGUCACUUUCCGGGAACAAAGUUGGUGGCAUAGGCCCAUGCAUUGUUGUUGACAGGGUCAGAAAGAUGGUCAGCAAGGUUCUCCAAAGGACCCUUUCCAGUGACAAUAGCUUGAACAAAGAAUCCAAACAUAGAGAAC
rnacentral:lncRNA from 1 species